AGGAGGUGGGUUGUCUCACUUUAAUCGUGAAAUUCUCACUAUAGACUAGCAUAAGGAAUAACAAGUCCAUGAAACUAACGGAUUGUUUAAAGCCUAAUCUAUAUUCUUGGUAAGUAUUUAGGUAUAAAUUAUUGCUUUCUGUUCUGUUCCCCUAGGGGGGUUUGAUUUUCUUUGGCUUGGCCUGUAGUCAUCCAUGAUAUUUCUUAGCUUGCUUGAGGUGCCGUCAUUGAUCGUACAAUGGUGAUGACCAUUGUCUUGUACAAAAUCCUCACUCCCAUAACCACAACAUUGAUCGUACAGUGAUGACUAUUGAUCGUGCAAUGCGUUUCCCUUUCACUCGCUUUAUCUGUUAUGUUGCUAUUCUAUUUGUUGCACUAGGGGUAGAUUUUUAUCUCCUAAUAACUAAGAACUUCUGCCAAAAAACCAAACAUAAUAACUUACACAUAUGGUAUGCAGAAAGCUCCAAUAUCUAUGAGUACGUUCAAAGAUUACCGGCUUAACAGUAUAGUAAAUAAUACAAAUAAGAAGAGUUUCCAAAAUGAAAUCUCCUAAUUGGCUUCUCUAAAGUUAGAGUAUGCACAAAAGCACAUCUUCCUUGUCCAAACACGUUGCUUUAAAUAGGUCUUGAGAUAGGAAAUAUGUUGCACCCCUAAAAUUUAUGACCAUGAUGAUGAGAAUGGUGUCAAGAUAUACUUAUUUUCUUCACUCUUGACGACAUGUCCACCACCCUCCAAUAGGGUGGGAAUAGAAUGCCAAUCAGAAAGGGGGGAGAUGAGUUGUAAAUUUUCCUUAUUUGACGUCCCACAUGCCUUUGUGGGAAAUGGACAAACUAGUGACCAUAUUUAUUCUGUUCUCCAACAUGGGGAGACACCCGCGAGAGGGGCGUAAAACCCCAGCCAACAACAUGGGCCUCGCAGGCUGGCAGGGCCUGGUAACAAAUCGAGAGGGUUUCAUGUAGGUGCUGCUUUGCGCGUAGCAUGUGGGGAGCCCCAUUAGCUGCCCGAGUGUACAAUGGGCCUAGUGGACUUUUCAGAUGCACAGUAGGUCCACUAUACCACCGAGGUGGCCAACCAGGUGUCGAUUGUUGGUAAGCACCAAAUUACAACUGCACAUAAAGGACAGCCCAAUAAAUUGACGUCUAAUUAUGUGGUCCAAUAAAUAUAUUGAAUAAAAUAAGCAUAUUGUGUCUAAGAUAAAUUCCAACUUCUAAUAUUUUGCAUAUUGGGCAACCAGUCAACUUAGGUUGUAUGGUCGUCAUAGAACUAAUACAAGUCCAGUUAGAACCUUAGCCCUUGUUAGCCUUGGGCCUUGCUAAGGCCAUCUUCAGCUUCCCUCUAGUUUGAUACAUACAUGUGGACUGCUAUAAAGGUCAGAUGACCUUCAAAGCCAAAGAUUAGACUUGUUGAAGCUCUUUGUGGGAAGAAGAUAGCUUGGGUAAUGUUUCAUCAACAUUGUCAUUUUCCUUGGGCUUAGAUUUAUGUUUCAAGAUAAGUCUGGGCAAACCAAAGUAGAUGAAUGAUCGGGUUUGGUAAUUCUUAUGGGGGUGUGGAUGUAUCUCUCUUCGUUGACCUAAAGAAAAACUGUUGAGAGGGAUUUACCGAGGUAAUUGACUUUCAAAGAUAUAAAACAUUGAACAAUUUCUUUCCUCUAGUGAGAAGUAAAUUUGAUAUGGGCUUCCAUUCAAAACUUUUGGUGGGUAUUAUUUACUGACCUAAGUUAGAUGUCUAUUAUAGAUCUUUGGCCUUACUAAAGGAAGAUGACUUGGAACUGAUGUCAUUCUAUUUACUCCUUGGAAGAAAUCAAACAAAAACUACUUAGAUUUACUCUAUCUUCAUUUGAUGGGAUGCUUUUCUUAUCGGAAAUUGAUUUCUUCCUGUACACUUGCCUUUCAACUUUUUGAUCCACUGCCCAUUCCAUACCUUGAAGAUUGGUCAAUGCAUCAUAGAAACAUUCUAAUCUUACACAACUAAUCUUCCAAUUAUAUUAGAACUAGAUAACCCCAGGAUUGAUUUUUCUUCAAAGGACUAGGAAAAUAUGCUGCCUCCAGCUACUGCCAUAGAGAUGCAGGACCAAGACUAGGCCCAAUUUAUCUCUACUUUCAACAUGAUCUCAUAUCUUUUGACCAAAGAAAAGAAAGCAAGCCGGACCACAGGCAAUUGAAUUAUGCACCAUAGUAAAUUGCAUUUUCUUUAAAUUGAUAACUAAUAUAUUGAGAAGUACAUUGUUUGAAGUUGUCCAAAUAUCAACGUGAGAUUAGUCACUAGAAAGUAGACUGUAUAAUACUUUCAUCUUUGUUGAGGUGGGUAUCAAUUGUCAAAAUGUAGAGCAUUUGGUUGAUGACUGUCCUUACAUCCUUAAUGGUAGAGUUCUAGGAUCUGGCUUUUUAGGAAAAAGGACUAGAGCCAAGCUGGAGAUUAGGGUUUACAAAAUAUCUUAACUUGAAGGAGAUAAGGGUUAACUUGGUCUGGCAUGGUAACCAUUUUCCUGUCUAGGCAAAACAAUAUACUUCUAGAGUGGUUUAAUCUAAACUUGUUGGAUCAUCCACAAGUUCAAGAAAUUCCAUGGAGACGAGCUUGGUGUUUGCAAGGGUUUUGAUAUUUGUCCCUAAUAUAGAUAUUGAAAAUUCAUAAACAAUAUUCCUUGUAAGAAAUUGACAUGUCUCAUAGCUCUUCGAAAAUGCGGAGAUGAAUAAUUAUUUUAAAUAAAUGUCAGAAUUUUGCCUCAUAAGAAAAACAAGAGUUGGAAGUGUUAUUUUCUUGUACUUAGAUGUCCACACUUCUACAGGUAACUUGAAGCAUCCUCUCAUCAACUUUGAGAUCAUCACACAAUAUACUAGAAUGUGCUUCGGGCAAAACUUUGCUGUUCCUAAAACUUUACUGUAUAAUAAUCUCUCCUGCAUUGGUAACUCUUCUCCUAGAUUAUUUCCACACUUGUAACAAAACAAGACAUAGACCACAACCUUAAACACAUCCAUCAACAGAGUGGUAUCAUAACUAACUAAUUAUCAUAAAGAUCAGGAUACCAUUACAAUCACUUGGAAGAUGUUUUGGCAUAAAGAAAGAUAACAAAUUGACAAUUAGGCCAUGAUAAGGUUAGCCAUAAACCUGAACCCCCUUUGGAUGUGAUCCAAUAUCCUCCCUAGUCCAACUUAGAGCAAUUCUCCAUAACUACAAUCAUGAUGCCUUGAAAUCAGUCCAUUUCCAAGUACAUAAUGAGGAAAGAGAUGAGUGACCAUGGCAAUAACAAGAGUAGUUCAUGGCAGGGUAAGACUUUGCCAAGAACGAUGAAAUCACUCUGUACAAAUAAGUUGAGCCAUAUAUGGAAAAAGGAUGUAGAGCUUGUCCACCACCAAGUCAUCCACACCUUUCAAAUCCUGAAUAUCAAGUACUUGAGUUGUUGGAGUUGUAGAGACUGGUCUAUUGGGCCUUAAUGGUCUCUAAUGGGCUCAUCAACAAGUACACGGCUCCAACUCUAUGACAAGGGACAAACAUGGAUUUUUCCGUACCGCGUGAUAAGGGGGGGAAGCCACCACCUCUAUUAUGGUAUGCAGAUAUGUGUUGUGUGACCAGUAUGUGGUGUUGAGACGAAGGCUGUAAGAUGACUCUCCACUUCAUAAGGACAACUAUUCUUGUCCUACUGUGAAUGUACAAGUAUUCCUCAUGUGAUGUUAAAUCUGGUGUGCCCUUUUGUUCUUGCCUUUCUCCCUCGUCUAUCUCUUGUGUGAUUUGAAUUAGUCUUCUACUAUUUAGGAAAUGGAAUUAGAACACUAGCCUUCCUCAACAUAAGGUUCAUCUCUUUUUCCUUGAAAUAAAUCACAACUAUGUAGAUAGUAAUAAUGUUAAGGAAUGGUGAAAGCAAAAUGGAGGCCAAUAAGGUGGCCACUUCCUCCAUAGCAAGCUAUUUCAGAUUAUAAAAUAUGUUGUCCAAGAACCCACCAUUUCCAUGGCUCCUAAGAUCACAUAGGAAACUUUUUUUACCAUGAAUUCUCCUAAAAGCUUGACAAUAAAGAGGAAAGCACCAAGGAAAAUCGAGUUGGAAAAGGGAAUAUGAGAGGUCUAGGAGCAUUUAUAGCUUCCCAGAUUCCUAUGCAAUCUUGAUGAUGCUGAGGGUUAAUCCCUCUUCUACACACAUGGAUAAGGUAUAUAUCUUUAUCUCCUAGUAGUUAGAACUCCGAAACUCCAUAUUAUUGCUUGUCCUAUCUUUCCAAUGAUAAAUAAGUCCCUCCCUCCCCUUUCAUCUUAAUCCCUUCCCUUGCACUCCUCUCUCCCCUAUCCGCUUCCCCCUUAUGAUGGGAAAUUAUUUAUUUUGUUGUCUAUGAUCCUAAUGUCAUAGAAGAGAACCCAUUAUGAUUAGGACUUUCCAACUAGAAACAAUAACAUAUCAAUAUGAGGGUUUCUUUGUGAGAAUGAAAAAUGAGAAUAUAGGUGGAGGAAUAAGUGAAGUGUUGAUUUCCUUUGUUUUGAUUAGUAUAAAUAAAUUUUUUUUUCUAAAGUCAGUAAUUAAUAUUUUAGAUUGAGAAAUUAUGAAAUUGAAAUUAAAUUUGUAUAUUUAAAUUAUAAUCAAUGUAGAGAUGAGAUUAUAUGUAUUCAAUGGUCUUAUCAUUUUGAUUACUUUGAAUUUUUACUCUAAUUGUUUUUUCUUGUUUUAACAUUUACAUCUACAGUUUUCAGCCUUGAUAUUAAGUUAUUUUGUGUUGUAAAAAUACUUAAAAAUAAGUAAUUAUCAACUAAAGAAGGAUUUAGAAAUAAAAGGUUAAGAUAUAUUACAUUAGUUCAUAUGACAUGUGUCAACCUAUGCAGUAUUACAUGAACCAUCAGUCAACAUAUAUGGAAAAUGGAACAUUAAAAUUUUAAUAUAUUUAUUUUUAUUUAACCAUGAUGCUGCAAUGUAUAUAUAUUUUAUAUUAUUUAACAUCAUGUUAGACAAAUUCUCUAAGCAAUUAUGAAUAUGAAAUCAACAAGAAAAAAAAGAAUAGAUCAAAUAUUUAAGUAAGAAGAUUCUACCUUAAUAAUUACACAUAUAAGUAUGUGUGCAAAAGUGUAAUGAAACUAGAUGCUGUGGAUUCUAAAUUGGACUCCCUCAGGUUAGAAAGCUUUUUGUUUCAAAUUUGAAUUCAAAUGACUUAAAAAGAAGACAAGAUGAAAUUGGAAGUUUGACAUUUGGAAACCAUAGAUUCUAGUAAAUACUAAAACUGAAACAUUGUAAACUUGAAUGUUGGAGAUUUGAAAAAAUUAAAAAACUGAUAUAAAAUAUAAGUUAACUUAUAAGAGAAGACUUAUAUGUUGAAAACAAAAAAAUACCUUUAGAGAUUAAGUGUUCUGCAUUAAGAUCUUCAUACUGCAUUCUUUAAUGAAAAAUGAAUGACAUCAAGCUCAUCAUUAGCAUGAUAUAGAAAUCAAACUAAUAUCCAUUCCAAUACUAACAUCAGAAAAUAGUAUAUUCAAAAUGUUGAAAUAAUAUGAUUCUUCCUCUUAAAGAGGGGAUUCAAAGUUGUGAAAGUAUUUGAAAUGUAAGGCUGCAUCUUUUUGCCUUAUAUGUUUUAGAACGUUGAAAUGAACUACAUAGUGUGAUCCUUGAUUUGGAAUACCUAGCAACACAAGAAUAUAAAGAUAAAAAAUAAAAACUACAUUGGUGUAUAAGUUUAACAUGUCACAAACAUGAUUUAAGGCUUCAUAAAACCCUAAUAUCUAUUGGAGUUUUUUAUGGGACUCUUCCUCUCCCUAAUCCCUAAUGCCUCCUGUUCUCCAUGACUCAAGCCCUAUAUGUCUCCUCUCUUGAUGGGAAAAAGACCUGAUUUCCCCAUCAUUGGGUUUGGACCAAGUUCACUUAGUGGAUUGUUUGGUCUCUUUGGUGGAAAUCAUUAGGCCCCUUGGCCCCAUGCUUCUAGAGUACACUAGGCCCAUUUUAGGCCUAACAUUACUCCUACCCUACUAGUGACAGCUUGUCCUCUAGGUGGAAGAUGGGGAAUUGUUAUUGAAGAGUCAAUAUCGACUCCUACAUAACUUCCCUUUUUGAUAGCUGAUUUGAUUUGAUUAGCACUUUUGUUUUGUUGGUGGUGUGGACUUGAUCUGUUUCAAGCUUGUGAUUGAGUUCAUUUUGGCAUUCAAUAGUGGAGGUAGUGGCUGGCUGUGAACUUGUGCUCCUAUGGCCAAGAAAGGUCAUUUGCUUCACUUAUGAAGCUGGUUAUUCAAAUAAAAAUAGUGAUAAGUUCAUAAGAAAGAAUUAAUCACUUAUGUGUGGCUAUUGAUGGUGACAUGUCAUGAUCUUUGGAGCUUUGUUCUUUAUAGUUUGAAACUUUCAAACCAAAAUUUACUAAUGAAAAUACAGCAUCUUGUAGAUAUCACUAUAAGGGGCAUGUAAUGAAGUUGUAUACUAUCACAUAGAAAAAUAUUUACUACCUCAUGAGUUAUCUAAGUGUUUGAGCAACAUCAAGUGGAUCUACUUAUAAGUUAGUUGACUACCACUAUGAUGCAAUUGAGGUCCUAUACUUAGAAUUGACAAUAGUUGUAUACGUCCUAUGGUUCAUAAAGUUUUGUGCCUUUUCCUUUCAUAGGUGGUGCAUUGAUCCAUAUAUUUUUGAAUGUUUUUCAUUUCACUCCAUUAAAAGUCUUAUGCAAGGUAUUUACAUGUUCUUAAGAAGCAUUUGUUGAUGCCCUUGGGCAUAUGUUUUGAUAUUACAAUUAAUGAGAAAAUAUAUAAUUGAUAUUUUAUAUUACUCACAAGAUUAUUAUAAAUUUUUGAUAUAUUUCAUCUAUAAAACUCUAUUAUUUAUCUUGCGAUAUUAUGCUUAACCUAUUAAUCCAAAGGAUUAAACCUUAAGAUUAAUUGAAUUGAUGAAUAGGCCAAACAUCACAUUUAUGAGAAUAAAUAUUUGUUGGAAAGUAAAUAUUUAAAUUGGUAAAUGACAUGGUAAAUGAUGGUUAUUUUUUUAAUUUAUUUAUCUAUCAUUAUUUGAUUAUUUAAGUGUAGCCUUUUAUUUAUUAGUCACGUGCAUCAUUAAAAGAGAAUGAAAAUAAUUCAAAAUAUUAGAUGAGCUCUCAUAAGUCCCAAACUAGAAAUCUAGAUGGUGACAUGUUGGCUACUUAUGUGAAGAAAAUGACUUAUUUAACAUUCCAAUAUGAAGACAAUGCCAAUAUAAAAGUUUUUCAUCCAUGAGAAAGAAUCUCCAGGUUAAAUUUCAAAUUGAACAAAUUAAGGAAUAAUAAGUUAUUAAAUUCACAAUAGUCAGAGGUCAUUACUACAUGUUCUAGAAAAUGAUAAGUAUUUGAUUGACUUUUUAAUUUUAUCUCUUGAACAAAAUAUAUAAAUCCAUGAGAAGACAAUGUCUUACAAGUAAAGAAAGUUGAGGAGAUUAACAACAAUGAUUUUACCUUGAUAUACUAUGAAAAAUCUCUCUCACGAUUAAGAAACAUCACCACUGAGCUUCAAAUACAUGUAGACUACAUCAUCUUUUUUCGUCAAUGAUUGGUGAUCAAUGAAAGUCUUGAAUCUUUUAAGAAUACUCUCCAUCAAGCCCUAAUGUAAUUAGGUAGUGAGGAGAGAGUAGUUUUGAGCAAAGACACGAGGUACUCUAAGUCUUGAUUGGCCCGAAAUGAGUUAGAUCUCUCUACGGAGAUUGAACUUGAGGUAUUGAGGUACUGAUCUCGUAAAUUUUAAUGUAUAUUUCUGAGGGAAAUAGUUGAAAACUAGUAGGAAGAAUUUUUCGAGAUUAGAAGUAGCUAGGUGAGAGGUCAACUAAUAUAAAAAGUUUGGGUCUCAUUAAUGGGGGAGAGAAAAUUGUGAGAUAACCCACAAGAGGAGAUAGAGAAAGUGAGCUUAUAUGUAGAUAAUCACAAAAAAUAGUGUUAGCAUGUGUGCUGACACAUCUACCAUUUAUAAAGAAAAUCUAAGAUUAUUGAAAAACUAAUUCACCUCCUCUCCUCUUAGUAUUUUGCCUAGCCCUUAGAUCUUUCAACUUCAAUAUCCAUUGAAGGCCUUGUCAUGGUACUCCUUAAGAAAUAAAUAAAUUGAUGUUAAAUCUUUAAAAAUUACAAACAACCCCUUGAUGAAUAAUAGGUCAUGUUGUAUUUUGGCCACACUUUAGUUCUUUGACCCAAUUCACAAAAGAUGUGAGAUAACUUGAAAUACAUUUGAACCUCUUUCAUAAUGACAUGUAAAUGUAAAACAUAUUAUCAAACUAUUGCUAUUUUCUAAAGUUCCACUUACUUUGGCUACUUAGAGAGAGUAUGUAUUGUAUUAUUGUUGGACCCAUUAUUAUAUUUGAUUUCAAAAUGACAUUCUAUGAUUUUGGUUAGUCAUCUUUGAUACUCUAGAUAUAUCUAUUAUUGUUGCAUGAGGAAUUGAAGAUGCAUUAGAUUGUGUCGAUGAUAAAAUGAUGUUAUAAGAGAUAACAUCACCACCUUUGGAUUGUUAACACAAUAACCUUUAGUUCACACUCAUAGAUAGGCUUUAAUUGAGUUUUGGUUGGCAACAUCUCACCGAAAUAAGUGAUGGGUCACCUUCACUGAACUGAUCUCAUGUCUGAUCUUGAUUUUAAAGAGCUAACAAGAAAUUAAACAUGGUCAAACUUGAGAGUGGUGAAUGACAACUUCUGUUGCUGAAAUGCCAUGUCCAUUAUUUGUCCUCAAUUGAAGGAGUCUUUAAGUUGUUGGGUUAGUAACUUUGUCAACGUUCCAUAAUUCCCAACAAACCUGUUAUAAUAAGCAACUAAACUCAAGAAUCCUAUCAACUUUUUAAGAUUGUGUGGUGUCAAGCAAUGGGUCAUUGCCUCUAUCAUUGGUCAGUCUCUACAUCCUCAAUUGACACCCAAUAGCUAAGGUAGUCCAUUCAUUCCUAUGUAAAGGUAUAUUUUUUAGAGUUGAAGUAAAAUUUGUGAUCUCACAAAAAUGAUAGGACUUAUUAUGAUUGUUAUGAAUCAUCAUGUCCUUGAUAUAUAUUAAGAUGUCAUAAAAAAAUACCAAUUCAAAUUUAUAGAGGAAAUCCCAAAAUAGUCAAUUCAUGGGGUACUAAAAUGUGGUUGGUGCAUUUGAAAGUCCAAAAGAUAUAGUGAGAAACUCAUAAUGUCACUCAAAAGUAUAGAGUGUUGUUUGGAGGAUGUCCAUAUUCUAUUAAUGAUAUCUAAAUUUCAGGUCUAAUUUAUAAAAUAUGGAUGCACAAUAAACUCAUCCAAAAAUUUCUUCACUAUUGAGAUAAAAAAUUGAUUGAAUAUGGUGACCCAAUUGAGAGCCUAUAGUCCACAUAAAAUUGUCAACUUCUAUCCUCUUUCUAACUAGCAAUACCAACUUUAGUAUGAGCUGUUGGACAUAAUAACUCAUAUCACACAUAUUAUCUUAAUUAGCUUAUUGAUUUCACACUUUUGAAAAUUAAAAUACCUAUAAGGAGAGAUGUUUACUGGUUUGACAUAGUGGUGCAGCAUGAUAGCAUGAUUGAUAUCCCUUGUUGGGCGAAGUUCUAAGGCUGAAAGGAGCACUUGUAUUUGUUAAAAAUUACUUCAUUAGACCUAAUAACCUUGGGAAAAUUUUGGGUUCACUAAUCGUGAUUUGAUGAAGCUCUAUUAUAAGUUAUUGCCCCUGUUGUAGCUCUUGUGCCUUUGGAUACAAGGAAAUGUUAGACCUGUUCAUGCUUGGGUUGUUCUUGAGAAGGAUAGUUGUGCUGACCUUAAUGAACCUUAGUGUUAGUUUACUCUAACUAACCUCCCUUAUGUUGAGAGAUAUGAGACACUACAUGCCUAAGAUGUCAUCCAUGUUGCCUAAGGCUAAUGGAAGAAAAUUCUUUAGGACUUUAGUCAUGAAAGCUCAAGAAACACUUCCUACUAAUGCCUCUCCCCAUCAUUAUUAUAUAUGUGCCCCUCACUAGUUUGUAAUUGAUCGUGGCUAUCAUAGAAGAUUUUAAAUUAUCUAUUAAUUAUAUUGAGAUGAGCUUACGUGUGGCAGCAUAGAUGAUAAGAACUAUUACAUACCUUAUUGCGAAUCUAUAUUAUACUAGUGUUUGUCAAUCCAUCAUUGAAUUGAGCAAAAGCCAAUGCUCUCCACAAAAUAGCCUUCAGUUUUGAUAUUUCCUUUUUCCCUUGUAUUUUUUAUGCCCUCAUCCUUAGUGGUUCUAGCUCUUGUUCCACCUCAUGGACUAUUGAGUAUUGAAAAUUCUCUCUUACACAAGUGUGCUGGGAUGAGUUCCUCAUCAUGUGAGAAAUAUAACCCUUUGAGUCAACAUGUUUGAAAAUCUACCUUUUUCUACAUUCAUGCACCUCCUUCCUCCCCCUUGCUUGUAGAUACAUGCAUCUUCACCUAUAGUUUGGGCUUGUGAACCUCACUACUUGCUGUUGCUUCUCAUAUUUUCAUUUAAUCAUUUCCCUCCAUUGUUGCUUCCUUUGUUCAAACUGAAUUUGUUCCACCAUAAAGUUUUGGCUUCACUAUCCAAGGUAUUAUGGCCUCUCUUGGUGGCCAAAUGACAUUUUUUCAUUCUUAUGCUAAGUUCGUUAUGUCCAUAAUGGCCUUCAGUCCAUUGGAGUCAUAAAGUUUGACCUUUGUUUGGAUCUUGUGCUUCAACCUUUCUAUAAAGGCCUUUUUCAACACUUAUUUGGGUAUCUCCUAUUGAUGAAGAAAGUUUAGGGCUUUGAUGAACUCAAGGAUCUAAUAGGGUUACCAAAAAGGACUCCCAACCUCAACUUACCCCAAAACACUCGAUACCCUCCCUUCCUCUCUUAUCAACCAGAGCCCAAGUCCUAUCCUCUGUUGAUGGGGAUAAAACUCCAUUGACUCUUCAUUGGGUCUGAACGAGGACCUUCAAUGAAGUGGCUGUUGUCUCUUUGGGUGAAAUCAUUGGGCUCUUUGAGCUCCAUUUUUGUGUUUGGAGUACAUAAGGCCCAUUAAAAGCCUAAAAUAUAGUCUGAUGAUAAAUCUUCAUUUUAUUUUUAUUAUCCUUUCAAAAAUUACACCAAUAUUUAGUGCUGAACAAGUCAAUGUCUUACAUACUUUGGCUGUGCUAGAGUUUCAAGAGAUCUGGACACAAAUCAAAGGCUGUUCUUUAGAGACCACCAUGUCAUUUGGGAAUUAAAAGAUGACAAUUUUUUACAACAUUAAGAAUAAAUUUACAUAACUAGACUCCAUACAAAAGGCUUCAGAUAUAGAAAAAGUACCAAGAGAGAGUCAUCUCUGACAAGAGUUCUAGACCACUAGGCCUCCACCAAGAGGAACUAGUCCCUUUUUACAGGGUUGUUAGUCUUGAUUGCAGCUUACCUCAUGGGGCACAACACUCUCUUUGAUGGCCCUAUUUCAAAACACUUGCCUCUUAUGUAGUUUGUGAAGAGUUUUGUAACAUUUUUCUCACAAUGAACACCUUUAUAAUAACAAGUUCAUUAAGAGUAAUAAGUGCUUUCCCAAAUAUAAUUGGCAUAUUGAUAAUGAUGGUUGAGAAAAUAACUGUUGAGGCGAAAUUGUGGACAUCUACAAAUGACAAAAGAACAUCUACCUAGUUAAUAGUCACAGAGCUUCACAAUCUCCCAACACUCUAUGGUGUGUGGUCUCAUGGUUCCUCGUGUAGAGUCCUUGUGUACACUUUGUUAUCCUUCCUCAUGGUUGCUUCCUCCUAAUUCUCCUGAUACUAGUAAUAGAACAUCAUGUUGAUUGUCUAGAUCAAUAGAAUCGCCAACAUGUAGACUAAUGAGGAUAUGAUCAAAUUGAACAUAUCAGGCAAAGGGAAAAGAGAUGCAGUUUAGACCAACAUUUGGGCCCAGGCUACAACAAGAAACAAGAGAGUGUUUACUUUGAACCCUAAUCCCUUCAUGCCUCAGAUGCGCUCCACUGCCAUUCCAAGAGCGUCUAGCUCGGAGCAUCCUUCUAUUGAUACUUUUGGGCAUGGAUUAUGAUAUUAUAAAUAUAUGAUAAAAUAUAUAAUUCAUGAUUGAUAUUAUUCACAAGAUUAUGACAAACGCUUCAUAAAUUUCAUGUAAAUAAAUCUAUUAUUUAUCUUAUAACAUUAUGAUUAACCUUGAGGUUAAGUGAAAUGAUAAAUAGGUGAAGCACCACAUAUGGAUAAAUAUUUGUUGAAAAAAAUAUUUAAUAGGUAAAUAAUUUUUAUAAUUUUUAAUUUAUUUAUCCAUGAUUAUUUAAUCAUUUAAGUGUAGCUAUUAUUUAUUAGUCACAUGCAUCAUUAAAAUAAAAAGAAAAAGGUUGAAAAAAUCAUAUGAGCUCUUGUGAGUCUUGAACUGAAAAUUUGGACGAUGACACAUUAGCUAUUUAUAUGGAGAAAACAACCAACUUAACAUUUGAAUUUGAAGAUGAAAUCAACAAGAAAGUUGUUCAUCUAUGAGAGAAAGGCUUUUAGUUUGAAUUUCAAAUCUAACGGUUUAGAGAAUAGUAAGAUAUUGAAUUCACAAUAAUUAGAGGUCAUUGUCACACAUUCUAGAAAUUGGUAAGUAUUCAAACCAACUUUUUGAUUUUAUCUCUUAAGCAAAACAUAGAAAUCCAUUAGAAGACAAUGUACUACAAGUAAAGGAAGCUUGAAAAUAAUGAUUCAACUUUAAUCUACAAUGAGUUAUUUCUCUCACGAUCAAUAAUCAUCAUUGCCGAGCUUCAACUGCGAGCAUACUACAUCAUCCUUCUUUAUCAAGGAUUGGUGAUCAAAAUAAAACUUGAAUAUUUUAAGGAGGCUCUCCAUCAAGCCCUAAGAUAAUUAGGUAGUGAGUGGAGAGUGAUUUUGGGCAAAGGCAUGAGGUGUCUUAAACCCUAUUUAGCCUAGAAGGGGCUGGAUCUCUACAAAGGUUGAACUUGAGGUAUUGGGACUAUUGAUCUCGUUAAAAUCAAUAUGUAUUUUUGAGAGAAAUAAAAGAAUAUUAAUAUAAAGGAUCCUCUGAAAUUGAAAGUAAUUAGGUGAGGGAUAAACCAUUGUAAAAAGCUUUUGUCUCAUAGUGAGAUCCUAUUAAAAGAGAGAGAAAGCCAUUUUGCACAUAGAUAAUCGUGUAGAAUUGUGUUAACACAUGUGUUGACACAUCUAACAUUCGAGAAGAAAAUCUGAAAAUUUUAAAAUACCAAUUCACCCCCCCUCUUGAUAUUUUGUCUAGCCUUUAGAUCUUUCACUUUCAUCAUGGAGACCACAAUGCCUUAUGGCCAAAGCAUGCUAAGUGUACAAAGAGAAGAAAUUUUAGGAUGACCACAAUCAAUGCAAAAGACGUGGGGAAAAUGUCACCAAAAAAGGUGACGGCACUCAUCAGCAAGAUCUAGAAGCUUAGAUAACUUGAGGUGAGGAAGUAGACAUAGAGAUUUGUGACUAUUAUGCCCAUCCUCUAGCUCUAGAUCUUAAAGACAAGAUCCUUUAGGGCCAACAUUUGGCUCUUCCUGACAAUGAUGACCGUGUAAAUGAUCACUAUCGCAAUGGAGGAAUAGAAUAGGUAAUAGAUUAAUGACACAACAGUUACCAUUCCGACAGUUUGUAGGAUAUCAGUCCAUAAUCCCUAUAAGACCUCAUCAAUUGAGUUAGUGACAAAAUCAUGCAGAAUAUCUUUUAUUCCUUAUUUAUGUCAUUAAAUAAUUUGUUCACAUGAAAUAAUUCACUUACUAUCUAUAUUUAGCAAGUGCGAAAAUGAGAGAGAGAUGUUUGUUGGAGUAAUAACAUUAUGUUAAUGAUAAUUACUCCUCUAAUUUUAUAUGAUAAGGUACUCAUUUGAUGAAGACAUUAUGUAUUAGGUGUUCAAGAGGAAUCUCAAUAGAAGAAGAAGGAUAUGUUUGUCUUCUCAAAUAAAUAGGCACCUUGAUGUCCUUUUUUCAUAGGGUGCUCUUUGAUGGUAGACUAAUGCACCAAAGAGAAGAAUAUUAAGUCCUUAGAGCACUGAAGGUUAUGUUCUCACCAAAUAAAUGGGGAGAAGAGAGAAGAGAGAAGUAGUAGUGUGUCCUUCUCAUCUCCUAAAAUGAGAAUUAUCCUUUAAUAGAGGUGUGUGUUGUUUUCCACAUGAUGGUAGUUAAUAGGAAGUUAUAGGAGUGGUUAUUAUGUGUAUUUAUUGUGUUAAUGGGCCACUUAUUGGCCAAUGAUGUUAGGAUUAGAGUCGCCAUUCCAUGCACAGUCCCUCAAAGAAGCUCCGAGUUGGAGAGAAUGAAACUCUUCAUUCUUCCCUCAUAAAGGAAACACCCUCUCAAGCAGCUUGAUGGGCCCGGAUGGAUAGGCCCAUUGCUGGGUCCUACUAUAACAAUGUCGAUAUGGGACUAAACAAGUGGGGACCCUUUCCCCCCUUUUUCUUUCCAUGCUAUAUACAUAUAUCUAUAUAUAUAUAUAUAUAUAUAUAUAUAUAUAUAUAUAUAUCGAGAGAGAGAGAGAGAGAGAGAGAGAGAGAGAGAGAGGCAGACAGAGAUAAACUCGUAUUAGAAUUAGAAACGAAAAUACUCUCAAAUCUCACUUAUUUUGACACAAAAAUAACUAGAUAAUACUUGCGGUUUGGGGAAAUCAACGAAGGAAAUUUCCAAGACAUAUUUUGAGGAAUUGUAUUUUUCAAAGUAUGCGAUUAUUUGACCUGUUGUUCGGAUUGGUAAGCAGCACCAUAGUUGUAUGAAACAUGGGGAAGGCAGUGAGGAAUGCCAUUGAGUGAAGGUUCGACAAAAACCUCUGCUAUUUCCUUGCACUCCGUUGCCCUUUUUCUGAGGCAAACCUGCAGCAUCCUCCCACCAACUCUGAUAUCACCGUGCUGUAUCCCAGAACAUGCUUCAUGAAAAUGACGAACGGAACGACAGAGAUUGCCAUGGAAAGUCCGAACUGUAGGAAAACCCUGACUUUCAGGGCAGAAGACAACAAGCAUCGAUCCUUACUAGAGAGACAUGGAAUACGAUGCCAAAGAGGAUGAUGACGCAGUUUUCGAGGGAAACAGGCCCUUCUAUGUGCUCCAAACUAUGGGGGGUAUUUUCUUGAGAAGUGAACUUUCCCAAUAUGAGCUGUCACCAAGCUUCUCUGUUCCUAAAGACUCAAGGGAGAUCUUCAGGAACAGGUGUAGAAGAGGAGACCCUAUUGUAUAUUAAUGUCUCCCGCAUGAGUAACUCCUUUUCCUGGUUAUCACUGCACUUGUAGUAGAACACGACAUAGAUCACGUCCUUGAACACGCCAAUCAGCAGAUUGAUAACACAAAUGACGAACAGAAAGACCAGGGCGAUGACCUUCGCAUCCUCUAGAAUGUAUCUUAACACAGAGAAGCAUAAUAGAUUGAAAAUAAGGCCAAAGAGGUUCAUAAGAAGAUUAACGAUAAACCCGAGACUCCUUCUUUCUUGGAUGAGAUCUGAUGCCCUCCCAAGUGCAGCCAGCCCGUAGCGGUCCUCCAAAACCGAGACCACGAUGCCUUGAAACCAUACCAAUUCCAUGUACACAGCCAGGAGAAAGACCAAGAUGGACAUGGCAGUAGCAAGAGCUUUCGACCCUGUGGUAAAACCACCGACGAGGACGACGGCACCAGUCAGUAAGAACGAAAAGUCGAAGUAACCAUUGGCCAUAAAAAGGACGUAGAGCUUGGUGACCAUCACGCCCUUCCACAUCUUCCAAAUCUUAAGUUGCAAAUCCUUGAGGGUCAUCUCUUUCUCCUUCAAAGCCAUUGCGACUGUGUAAAUUACCGCCAUGUUAAGGAUGGACGACAGCAGGAUGGAGGCCAGUAAGAUGGCCAUUUCUGCGAUGGUUAACUUUUUGAGACCAUCAAGUACGCUUUCAAAAAACCCAGGUUGCAUGAUCCCUUGGGGCAUUGGGGACGCUUUCUCUAUCACGACUCCUACUAGAUGAAUGAUGUAGAAGAAGUAGGCACUUACGAGAAUGGUGUAGGGGAGAAGGAACAUGAGCAGUAUUGGGAGCAUCUGCUUACGGCUCCUCCACAGGAGCUUCCAAGAUUCCCGAACCAUCUUCACGCUGCUAAGGGUUAGUCCCUCUUCCAUACCCAUGGCUACGACGAAUACCUUCCGUUCCAAAUACUCAGCAUUCCCAAAUUCCCUAUUUAUACUCGUGCUACACGUGCUCCGCGUAAACAAGAAGCCUUCGCAGAAAUUUCCUCUCUUAUCUUGGGAAAAAAUUCAAACUAAAUUAUUCCUGUCCCUAUAAUGAUCCCUAUUUUAUUAGAUUAUAUGGUUAUGAGUCACCUUCUUCAUUUAAUUAUUGUAUUUGGAAAAGUCAUUAUAAGUUGCAUACUUCGUGACCUUCAACGGAUUAGUUAUGAGUCGGGCUUGCAGCAUUAAAGUUAAUUCAAUGCUUGUCCAAUCGAGCAGUAUUUCUGUGGUAGUAGAUGAAUGCUAUGUCGAACUCAACGCUUGCCCUGUCUAACACGAAAAUAAAGUAAAAUAAAACAGACGAGUGUUUGUAGAAAGCUUCAGCUUUUGUCGAUAAACAGGAUUUGGAUGAAUUUCCAUGACUACAAUAAUAGAUCUUCUGAAUUUAAGGUACCAAGCCAGAUACCCAUUCUAAUGACUUACGAUACCAGUUGAAAAUGUCUUUGAUGUAAAUGUCAUGGAUUUCAAUUUUGAACACGACAACCAUCUCUGCCGCACGUACAAUGGAAAUGAGAUGUUGUAUGUGAGAGAUGGGAUUACACCGUUCUUUCACGGGUAUGCCAUCUACCAUCAUGCCGGAUUCUUGUCUGACACCAGUACAAGGUUACCGUGCCUCCACUAUAGCGAGCCUAUUAAAUGGGUGGGAUUAUUCAAACCCUAUAUAUGGAUAAUCCUACAGAUCUUUCGUGCCUUGAGAGAUAAUGGAGACUUGGGAUGACUGUAGGCUUCUCCAUUGAUAAUUCGACCUGAAAUGGAAAAGCUUCUUGGACAAUGAGCAAGUGAUUCCAACGGAUGAGAACUUUCCCAAUCAAGUCUCUUGAUUUUUACAUCAUUAAAGUAACCCAUGAGGUGUGAAGUAUUCUUGAUAUUUUUAGAACAUGCUACACUACAUGGAUGUAGGCCAAUGUACCACCACUUUGUCAUGGAUGGCCUAAAUUCAGACUAAUUGACUACCUCAACUGGACAUGAUCUUAAAUGAUGACUAAUCACCGUGGAAUGAUAUAUACUUAUCCAAGACGGCAGAAGAAUGAAAAGCCUGCACGGAGGCAACCCUCGUAUUAGCCUUAUAUAAUAUAAUAGGGACGAUAACAAGACAAAUACCAAAAAUAUCUAGUCCAUAACAGUGACCCAUAAUAUAGCAGGCCUAUGAACCAAAUAUCUUAAGCCUAUUAACCAAGAUAUGGUAAAGCACAUAUUACGACUAUAUCUAACACCCCUACUCAAACUCAUGAUGUAGUAAAUGUCAGGAGUUUUCUGAAGAGAUGAUAUUCUGCAAACGUCCUACUAGUUGAUCAAACAUACUUGUCUUCGACUGCACCCAACCGUGUUUGUGAGCCUGCAGCAAUUUGCGAUGAAAAACUGAAUGAAAAAUAUAUAGAGCUAAAUUGUUUAUUUCUAUUGAAAGACUAAUCCCAAAUUUACACAAAUUUGUCAAUACGUCGAAGGGGACAAAUUCUGCUUUUAUCUCCGAAGCAAGCCACAGAGAAUGGAGAGGUGAUUGAGCCACCAAGAGAGUAGGCAAUAAUGAUCUGAUAUGGGGCAAGAGGGGGACGAGCAAGAUCCGAUGAGGAUAACAAAGAAAAGGAGAGUGGAAAAAGAUCCGAUAAGGGCUGCCAAUAUAUCAGAGGGAACAAGGUCCAAAAGGACCAACCAAAGAGAGAUCAAAGGGGAGGCAGAAUGGAACAAGAUCCGAAGAGUACCAACCAAACACAAGAUUUUAUGAGAAUCACCAAGAGAUAACAAGAUCCGAGUACGGCCAACUUAGAUCCUAAGACGGCCAACGAAGAUAAAGGGAGAAGGAGAGAGAAAUAAGAUCCGAAAAGGAACGACAAUACCAAUAUCCAAUAAGAACCAUCAAGAGAAAAGAUAUAAUGAUCACCAAGAGAUAGGAUUCGAAAGGACUCCAAGGGAUCAAGAUCCGAUAAGGACCAUCAAAGGGGAGUGGGCGAGAGAUGAGGGGGAUUGGACGAGAACGGGGACAGAAACCUAAUAGAAACCCUAAGGCUCUGAUGGAGAGAAGGGAUGAUGACCAAACUCUAGAAGACAAACAAGCCCUAGCUCUUAGAGGGGAUGAGGACGAACAAGACGAGGGAAAACUGAGGACAAGGGGAUCUUAAUGAUGGUGAACAAUGCUAGGUUGGCAAAUCUAAGGAUUAAGAGAAGAGAGAGAGGAUGGUGAUGGUCGCGAUGGAAUUCCGUAAUGGUGCUGACAAUGGUGAUGGAAGUCCCAGAUCUUGACCCGUGCGCGCUACAUCUCUUGGGUUUUAUCACAGUUGGAAAUUGGUGGUGGCAUCGAGUUGAUCUUUGGGACUGAGAGACUUAGUGGGUCCUCUAGUUUCUAUUCCCCCACUAUAGCGUGCGUAUCUUAUUCUACGGUGGAUUAUAAAGUGAUCAAUGUCCUCCACAAGGAGCACAUCUUGUAUGGCUUGUGUGAGCAGAAGAAUUAAUUGACUGAAGUGGUAACGCCUAUAAUAUAAUAAAAAUGGAAUGACGGCUUUAUUUUAUCAUGUCACAUUAUUCUUCUUGUUACCUCAUCAUGCCAAAUAGCAAAUGACUGGCCCACACCGACUCAAAGAGAGUUCUACCUAGAACAUCCCUUGAGCUUCUUCUCCGUACAGUCAACAUCACCCAUUAUUAUGAUGAGCAUGAAUAUCGAGUUUAAUUUGUAGCUUAUGAAGAGCAUAAAUAUUGAGCAGUUGGGAGUUUAUUGAACACGAUAUUUACAAUGUGAGCAUUCAGCUAGAUUUUUCUCAUUUGAUGUAUACAUAAGCUAUCUCUGUGUUAUAGAAUUCUUAUUGGAUUAUAAGCAAAUAUCAAAAAGAGGGAAAAGAAAACUGAUGGUUGAUGACGCAUGGUCCCUAUCCCUCUCUCUUGUCUCUAUAUGCCUCUUCCCCCCUCGUUCCGUAUCUCUUUCUUCCCCCUCUACAUCUCGUGAUGUUCAUCAGUCCACUUUUUCUUUUUGCCUCUCUUUCGUUCUGUGCAUUGGCAUCAAUCCCAGACUAUUUCUCACUCUAUCCCUCUUCAGUCUUCACUUUACUCUUCCGAUGAUCUCUCUCUCUCUCUCUCUCUCUCCCCCCCAAUGUAAGGGUGACUUGGUCAUCCCUUUUAAAAGAAGGUCCUACUUUAGACCACAAUAAUCAAAGUCCUACUUUAUUACAGUGCAUUCUAUAUUCUCUUCAUCAUUUAUUACUCAGUAUCUAUCUAUCCAUCUAUUUAUUUAUCCAUCUAUCUUCCUAUCCAUCCAUUUAUCUAUCUAUCUAUNNNNNNNNNNNNNNNNNNNNAUCAUUUAUUACUCAGUAUCUAUCUAUCCAUCUAUUUAUUUAUCCAUCUAUCUUCCUAUCCAUCCAUUUAUCUAUCUAUCUAUCUAUCUAUCUAUCUAUCUAUCUAUCUACCUACCUAUCUAUCUAUCUAUCUAUCCAUCUAUACAUCCAAACUAGUGUAUAUUUUAUCUACUCCUCCAAUGGACAUAUGCUUCUUCAACGACUGAAAGAGGAGGAACAAAGGAGAAUAGAUGUUGGUGAACCUUGAGUGCAGACGGAAAUGGUCUAAACAUCGCUUUCUCUUGUCAGAGAUAAAUUGAAUACCAUUAGCUGAAAGUAUCGACUCCAUUCCAUUAUGAUGAGGUCCAUCUCUCACAAGUCACCGUUCUCUUCCUCGUGAAAUUUCUUGGAGCAGUCCCAGUCUUACUAAAUCAGCUCAGAAACAGCUGCUCCAACCCCAGCCUAUUUUAUUGUGCGAUUGAAUUUCCUCCUGUCACAUUAAUUGCUGGUUAAUUCAUAUUUAAUCGCUCGGACUAAUCGAUCAAAGCCUUAUCUGCGUUGGCGUGGAUUGGCAUCAUCGGUCUGAUUUGGACACCCCAAAACCCCUUCUCGCUACUUGGGCAAAAACUGUACUGUUACCUAUCAGGUUUAGUAGAAAAAUUAAUCCUUGACUAAAUGAAGAUAUCUUGUCUGACUUUCUGUGAUGGUAUUUGAAGCCGUAUUCCAUUUAAGAAACACUAGUUGACAACCGCGGUAAUGAAGGAAAGGAGGAAACUUUGCGUGAGAGAGAGGGACAGAGCCACGAUUGCAAGUAGGCAUUCUUCCUACAUCGACUUAAUGACAAGGAGACACCAGCUGAUAAGAUUUCUCACCUUUCGGGUGAUGGCUGCGUUCUUGCUGGCCAAGUAUAUGUUUAUCUUCAAGGACUACCAGAGAAGCUACGAAGGAUAGGAAAUCAGAGUUCUCACUUACGGUAACUAACCUCAAGAGACAUCUCUUUGAUAUUGAGAAUUCCAAGACCCGAGCGAGAUUUCUCUUAUAUGCUUAGGAAUGUUUGAGCCAUAGAAGACAAGUAUGAGUGGAAGUUGAUAUUCCUGUCGUCAACUCCAUCACUAGAAAACAGCUAAAUAUUCUAUUGACUCCGUUGCCAUUACAUGUAAGGCUAAACGUUCGACACUGUAUCUAUAGAUUUGACGCUUUCUGUGUAGACAACACCAGUUUUCCCCAAUGUGAUGUGCAGUUAAACCUAUUCCUAAAAGGAAUAGUUAAUAUGACGCUUUCUUCAACUUCGUGUGUUACCUCAGCCAUGUUUAUGUCUUGUUCCCACCCAAGGAGACUUGACACUCUAAGCUUUCAUCAUUAUUCUUCCCCAAUGUUAACCUGUCAGGGACCACAUCACCCAUAGAGAGACCUUUUGUAAUGGAUAGGAAGAACAUGAAUAGAAAAAAGAGGGAGGUGAGAGGGGACUGAAUAUGUAAUGGUGACUUGGUCAUCCCUUCUUCUGUAAGGCCCAUAUGGGUCACAUCUCUCCUUUUGGGCUUUCACUUAUGAUUGUUUUCUAUCUAUAAAAUGGUCCGGUCCCUUUUCUGUAAUAGAUAUUUAAAGGGAGCUCAAGGAGAGAGAAAGGAGAGAGGAAAUAGACAAAUUUAGGGCAUGAGAAACCAUAUCUUCUCUGGCGGCUGCAACAAGAGUUGUGACCAUCUCUCUCUCUCCCUUACUGGUGGUUGAUAUUAUUGCUUCAUUAACUCUAUCUCUAUUAUAUUAUGUUCCUCAGACAUUAGAUAUUUCUCAUUCUUUUUUGGUUUAUUAGUUGUGAGGUGUAUUUAUCCUCUUUAGACCGCAGUAUCACAAUCUACUUUAUUAUAGCCCAUUUUACAUUCUCAUUACCAUUUAUUGCUUAGAAGACUUAUUGCACUUGUCUCUCUAUUUUUUGCUACAUUCUUAGGCCAUUUCCGGGCCCAUUAAGAUCCUAUUCCAUGCUCUAUUUCCUAAAAAACUAAUAUCAAAGUUAGGUUAGAGUUUUAUUUUAGCAGAUAUAGAGAUAUAGGAUGUUUACUAAGUUUGAUAUUGAGAAGUUCAAUUGAAGUAUCAACUUUGAAGUAUAGUAGGUCAAGAUGAAAGCCCUCUUGGCCCACCAAAGGCUACAUAAAUCAUUAUUGGGAAAGAAAAAAAUGACAAUUACUAUCUAUGGAAGCAAAAUAGGAAUUAGACAAGAAAGUUCUUACUGUGAUCCAGCUUAGUUUCUCCAAUGAUGUUCUGUGUAAGGUUAUUUAUGAAACUAUAACGGCUACAUUAUGAUUGAAAUUGGAGUGAUUGUAUAUUAUUAGAUCUCUCAACAACAAACUAUUUAUGAAUUAAUGUUUAUUCAUGCUCAAGAUGGUAGAAGGUACAUCAAUUAAAGCUCACCUUGAUGAGUUCAAUUUUAUUUUGCUAGAUUUAGAAAUAUUGAUGAGAGAGUAAAGGAAAAAGAUUAGGCCAUGUUUUUACUUUGUUUGUUACCACCAUCAUAUAGACACUUUCAAGAAACUUUAUUGUAUGAUAGAGAGACCAUAUCUAUUGAAGAUGUUAAAUCUUCUUUAUUUUUGAAAGAGUUGAUUGAGAAAAAGAUGACUUUUAUUUUAGAAGGAUAACAACUUGAAUGUCUUAUUAUUAGAGGCAGACCUAAAGAGAAAAGCCAUUGGGGAAAUAUAAGUGAGUUAGGAACAAGUUUUGCAAUUAUUAUUGUGAGAAGGGAUAUGUCAAAGCUGACUACUAUAAACUCAAGAAAAGGCAGCAAGAAGACUCUAAGGAGUUUAAUCGUAAAAUCGUUGAUAUAUAAAUUAUUGUAUUUGUUCAUUGGGAUGGUGAUCCUUAACUGGUGGUGAAUGAGACCCAUCGCCACCAUGGUAUGGACUCAAGGCAAUGGAGGAGCCCCUGCUCAUGCAUACUCAAUUGGAACAAGGAGCACAAGCAAAGGCGAAGGACCCUAGGUUCUACUACACUACCUGAGGUGCUUUACGUCUUCCAUCAUUCGUCUCCCAUGUCUGCGAACAGCCUAGGCCCUAGCUUCACCACAUAUGGGGGCCUCCCAUCCCUUUUGUCUGUGUUGGGCCCAUGGCGGGAGGUGGGGAGGCCCAUUCCUCCUUUUGUUUUGGUCCUUCCCUUCCCCUUCUCCUUUGGUCCAUAUGUGUUGGGCCCAAAUGGAGAAGGAGGUGUCCUUCUUGUCCUUACCUUCCUCUUUGUGGAGGCUAUCAUCGUUUAGGCCCAAUUAGAGAGGAGAGCCCACCCCGGACUAUGGAAGAAAGACAAAGAUCAGCGUGAACCCACCCCUCCUACCCCCAUCGCCCCAAAGUGAGAUAAUUCCCGACCCAACCCCUACACAGGUUCAAAUUGGGCACCCAUAGGGAUAUCGAUGGUUAGAUCUGUAGAAUCAUAUAGUAUAUUGGCAUCCUAAUAUUCAACAAAAUAUUUUAGCACUCUGUAUUACUGACCAUAAAAUAAGCGUUAAUAUUAUAAGGUUAUAUAUUAGAUUUUUUUAUCGUUUGGGGCUUUCUAAAGUUUAAGGGUGUAAACCCAUAGGAAUAUAUCGCGUAUUUCUUACUUCUCCGACGCGCCGACUCUCACUGGAGGCGUGCCUCGUGCCUCGACGCGCCGCCAUCUGUUUUGGCUUCUUUUCUUUAUCUCGGCUUACUCUCAUCCGCCUCCCUUAGUGAAGAAACCAGGGCAAAAUGCGAAGAGAGAGAGAUCCGGUGAAUAACGAGCGCGAUAGAAGAAGAGAAAGAGGGAAAGAGAGAUGGUAAGGGCAGCAGCAGUAAGGUCUUCCUGUGACUCUCCCUUGUUAUCGUUCAGGGGUACGUCGUGCGAGAAGAGAGCCCUCACAAGCUAAGGAGAAGGUUACCCAACACCACAUCUUCCACGACACUGUUACUGGUAAGAACCCUGCCGCUGUUUCCGCCGCGCAGCCCAACGGCACUUUCCCCUCUAACUUCGGCUCCGUUAUCGUUAUUGACGACGUCCUGACGGUCCGGGUGGAUCGGGCGUCCAUGGUCGUCGGCAGCUUCCAGGGAUUUUACGCGUUAACUGACCUGACUAAUUUCCGGAAAAUCCUUCGGCGUGAUGUCCGGAAUCCCAUUUUGUACAUCAUUUUGUAAAUAAUAUACAAAAUGAUUUGGUAAAUCUGACGGCUGUGGGUUCCCAACCCCGGGUUAGCUAUUGAAAGAUGUCCGGAAGAGGUUGUACCAGAUGGGAUUGGCAUCCUGGGCCCCAAGCGUGGCCCUCCCCCCGUGGCCCAUGUGGGCCCCUAUAUAUAUGGGUGGAGAGCCACUGGCAACAGAGGCAGUUUUUUUUGGGAAAGAAGAAUACGUGUUUGUUGAUCCUCGCUCAAGGAGAAAGACAGGGAGAGAGAAAGGGUCUGAGGGGAGGGGAACGCCCGACAACACGCCGCUACCAGGCUGCUGACCGCCAGCUGUGCUGCCGCCUGUAUGCCCGCCCGGCGCACUCACUUACCGCGCUGCGGACGUGCGCCAGCCACACGCCGACGCGCCCCCGCGCCCGUCCGCGGGCCGUUAUCACGCCUCUACGCGUGGCCAGUGCGCUCGCUCGUGCGCCGUCGCCGCAGUCUCCGGAGUCUGCCCGCGUGCAGCCGGGACUCCCCGCCUCCUUCCUCAGAUCCACCAGGCGUUCGCCCGGCGCUGUCUCCGCGCGCCCCUUCGGAUGCCAACAGCGCGCCCGAUACCCCCUUGGCACCGCCCAUGGUGGGCCAUUCCACGCACCAGCAGAGUGUCGGUUCGUGCGCCCCCGGCGCAUUGUUGUUCGCUGGCCGGGAACCAGUUGCCCAGCAGCCGUCACACCAGCCGCCCCUGCCCGCCACAUCCGGAGCUUGCACCGCUGCGCUGUCGACCAUCCUGCCCUCACACGAUAGCCCCGCCGGCUCUGCCACGACCAACCGGGCCUCGGCCCGCAGGUUAGCCCUCGUCCCCCCCAUUCCGUCAGGUCCUUUACUACGUGCAGCAUCAUCUUGCAUCUGCUCCACUGCCGUUGGACCUAGUUAGGUUGGGACGGACAAGGAGUCACCGUCGUGCCGUGCUGACGCACGCACCAGACUUGACGCGUUGUCCGUCGGGCACUCGCGGCAGGACUUCGUCGUUGACACCGGGCCUUCACCAUCCGGACAAGUACUCGGAGGGUCUCCCUGCACUAGCACCUAGGGCGACCCCCUCCCUCUCUCUCCAACGGACGCACCAUCGGUGUCGUUGCCGGACGGCUGCUUGCAUGUAGAAGAGUCAGUCUUCGUUAUUUAGAACCCUGGGUCAGCCUACUUGGCGGUGCAUAGGGGAACCAACCCACGGCGACACCCCCCCCCCCCACCCCCCCCCAACCACCACAUUGUCCGGGCGGUCUAACCCACCGGUGCUGCAUCAUUAACACAAUUGCCAUGUCAGUAAGAGCAAGCAGGUGGGUAUAAUAGUUUUCACCUUCAGGAUCUGUAGGACGUCGAUGGGCCUAAUGAUCACAAACCUUUGUCUAUUUGCUCACAAUUGGUUACCUAGGCUUCUGCAUGUUGUUGAUGACUACUUCCUCCAUGAUUGAUGGAGUUUCUGUUACGUCUCUUUCCUUGAUUGUAGUGAUGACCAUCUUGUUAUUUCUUUUCUAUGUACAUUUGAACAUGCUUUGGUCCCAAGGCGUCGUGGUCUCCGGGAUGGAGGAAGGACGCUCUGGGCUAGACGCUCUAAGAAUGGCAGCGGAGCGCCACCGAGGGAUGAAGGGAGUAGGGUUCAAAGCAAACAUUCUCGUAUUCCUCCUUAUGGCCUUGGCCUAUCCGUUCAUCCUGGUCGCGAUAACUCUUCUCCCUCUUCCGUAUCUGGUAUUUUCGAUCCUACGCUGGUUACUCUACCCGCUGGUAAUGUUGCUAAUCCAGGCCAUUAACGUGGUGUUCCACUUUGAGUGUCUCGAGAAUCAGGAAGAAGAGGCCAUGAGGAAGAUUUAUUAGCGUACACAAUGGUUCUACCUGAGGAACCACGUGGCCACCAUUGACUCUUGAGAGAUGGAGAAGCUUUCUGAUUAUUCACUGGACGCAUGUAUUAAGUCGCCUGUAGAGGUCCAUAUGACCGCCUCUGUCGCUGUUUUCUCCUCUAUUAAUAUCAAUAUGCCCUUUCUAUUUGGCAAAUCACGUUAAGAAUUCGUGAACUUAUUCAUGUAAGGCAUGACGACGGCACCAGUCAGUGAGGACGAAAAGUUGAAGUAACCAUAGACGAUAAAAGGGAUGUAGAGCUUGGUGACAACCUUGUCCUUCCACGUUAUCUUAGUGCGGAAUAUCAGGUGCUUGAAGGUCAUCUGUUUCUCCUUCAAACCCAUUGCGGCAGUAUAGACAACAGCCAACUUAGGAAACGACGAGAAAAUGAAAAAGGCCAAGAAAGCAUCUACCUCUUCGAAAACGGGCUGCUUGAGAUUAUGAAUUACACUGCCCAUGAACCCACCACCUUCCAUGACCCUUAAGAUCACGUGGGAGACUCUAUUUGAUGCAGGACGAAUAUGAUUGACACAAAUGUGAAAUGCUAUAAAUGAGAUGAAUAACUAACAAGCCACAAAAUUCACACACAUUCAGAUUCGAACCUUUAAAGCCGACUGCGUGACACUAAAAAGACCGUUCCGUUCCUCAGUCGAGGGCUGAAGGAUCAUCUCAAAUCAUCGUGAUAAAUCAAAGCUCUACGUUUCAAAAUCUCAGUCGGUCUCCAAACAAGGAAAACAUAGCCCACACGGCUGAUCACGAGCCCACACGGCAAAUCAUGAGCCCACAUGGCUAGUCAUGAGCCCACACGGCUAAACCUAAUGGUGGUGGAAUCACAAACGAGGAAAAAUGAGAUGAAAUCAAUGCACACAUUCACUGAAAGGGUUAAGAGUGGACUUUGGGCGUUUGAACGCCGAGAAGUCGACGUCGAGGAUACUUUGGAGAAGAGUGGGCUCAUCGCGGAUCCAACUAUGUGGUCAGUUGGCGGGGGUCAAGGGGAAGCUGCCCCCUUGCAGGGCUCGGGGCAGCACCCCGAAACCAAAUCCGGUGGAUGACAGGAGCAAGGCGCGCAGUGCAUGCACGGUAGCUGACAAGGGUUGGAAGCUGUCGCGGAGGAUGAAGAGUCCAGGUACGUUCGCUGCGUGCGGGACGCUCCGGUCGCAACAGGGCGGCAGCAGUCGCGCAGACGCCCGUGGAGAGGAGUUCGCCACGUGCGGACGGCGACCCGGCGUGAACCGUCCCUCGGCGGCGGACGCUUGACGCUGUUGCAGAGGACGUCCGCGGCUGCGGGGCGAGGAGUCACGCGGACGCCGUGGAGAGGAGCUCGUCAUGUGCGGACAGCGAUCUGGCGGAACCGUUUCUCGACGGCAGAUGCUAGACGCUAUUGCGGAGGACGUCCGCGGCUGCGGGGCAAGGAGUUGUGCGGACGCCGCGGAGAGGAGCUCGUCGCGUGCGGACGGCGAUCUGGCGGAACCGUUUCUCGACGGCGGACGCUUGACGCUGUCGCGGAGGACGUCCGCGGCUGCGGGGCGAGAAAUCGUGCGGACGCCGCGGAGAGGAGCGCGUCGCGUGUAGACGACGAUCCGGCGGAGCUGCUCCUCAAUGGCGGACGCCUGACGCUGACACGGAGGACGUUCGUGGCUGCGGAGUAUUCCGUCAUCCGUCGAGAUGGUUAGGUCUCGCGGAUGUGUGCGGAAGGAAGUCCGCCGUGCGCGAUCAGUGAACUGACGGGAGGUCGUCAGCACGAAGAGGAGUGCACGAGAACUGAUGGAGGGCUCGUCCGGAGAGGGAAAGUUGACCUUGGAGUAGGGUGGGACCCAUGCGACGGCGGCGGCUACAGGUGGCAGCGGUCGCACAGAUCCCCUAUGGCACGUUCUUAGGAAAGAUACCUUUCUUAAUUCCAAAAUCAGCCACCAGUUUAAGGAAUUCUUAAGCCUAUUUAUAGGCCUUGGAAUGAAAAAGAAGACUACAAUAAGAUCAAGCAAAAUGAGCAAAAAUUAAGCCUAAUAAUAAAGGAAAUUCGGAUCCUUCAGUUGGGUCUGACGGCGACGACGUGGGAUGGCUGUAGAUGACAUGGCAUCCUCUGACGUCGUUGCCUCCACUGGUGGAGCUUGGGUACAUGCUCCACCACUGUUUACCAUGACUUCUCCUAUAUGCCUGGAAAAGAAGAUGAGGGCACUGAGGACAAUCGAGUUGGAGAGGAGAAACAUGAGUAGGAUUGGAAGCAGUGGCCUUCGACUUCCUAGAUUCCUGAACAAUCUUCAGGCAGCUGUUGAUUAAUCCCUCUUCUAUAAUCAUGGCUACGACGUAUAUCUUCCUUUUCUAUUUGUCGACCUUCCUAAACUCCUUUUUUAUGCUCGUCCUUUCUUUCUGACAAUAAAUAACUCUUGUUGUGUAUUUUUUGUGAAAUGAUGGGGCCUUUAGGGGAAAUUCCAAUUUUUGCGUUGGGAAGCUAAGUUAGACAUAUCACUAUAAAGUGUCCCUAUUUGACUAGAUUAUAAUGGUCUCCUCCACCAAUUAGUCACUGAUAUGAAAAAGUCAUAAAUUUCUUGCUUCAUGACUUUCAACAGACUUAAUAUGAAUCAGGCGUGGAGGAUUAAAGCCAAUUCAAUGCUUGUGCCAUCUAGCAGUAUUUCUUGUGUAAGAGAUGAAUGUUAAGUCGAACUUAAUGCUUGUCCUAUCUUGCACGAAACAAAAAUUAAAAUAAAAUAGCUGGGAUUUGUAAAAAGCUUCAGCUUUUGCAGACGAACAAGAUUUGGAUGGAUUUCCAUGAUUAAAAUAAAAUACAUCUUCUGAGGGUAAGGUGUGAAUCCAGAUAGCCAUUCUGAAGACUUAAAGAUACAUGUUACAAAAUGGAAAAUCUCUUUGACGUGAAUGCGGUGGUCUCCAUUUUGAACACGACACUGUCUGUGCCGCGCGUGUAAUGGAAAUGAUAUGUUGUAUGUGAGAGAUGGAUUAUAAAAUUAGUAUAGCACCUUCAGUUAAACGCGGUUCUGGAUGGGGUGUUACAGUUCUUUUUCUGGGAUCCUAUCUACCACCAUUCAAUAUUCUUCUUUGGUUCCGGUAAAAAGCUAUUGUGCGUCCACUAACAUAAGGCAAGUAAAUGGUUGGGAUUAUUCAAAUCCCAGAUAUGGAUAAUCCUACAAACCGUCGGUGCUUUGAUAGUCCCAUUGAUAAUGCACUUGCAAUGGAGAAUGCUUCCUGGAAGAUGAGCGGGUGAUUUCCAAAGACAAGAAGAACCUUCCUAAUGAACUGUAAAUUAUUACAGGUUGAUCAAAGUUUUCUAUUAGGAAUGUAACUAUCCUUGAUUUUAAUAGAGGAUACUACUACAUGGAUGUAAGCAAGCGUAUCAGUAAAAUUUGUGGCAUUAGAACACUACCUAUUUAGUCAUGGAUGACUUAAAUUCCGAUUAACUGACUACCCCAACUAGGGCAGGAUCUUGAAUGAUGACUGAUCCCAUUUGAAUGAUUUAUACUUGAAGAGAGGUAAAGUGAGGUAUCAUACUGCAUUACAAAUCUAGAUGUGACAUGAUGUGGAAUGGAUAGUCAACUAAUCAUAAUCAAGUGGGACGUCGAAUUCGUGGAACUCCUGUCCAAGCUUUAUCAUCUCCGGUCUGCCCAUAUAAACGUGAAUAAGUAUCUAGUGAACGAAACCGAAGUUUUAAUCUAAAUUUCAGAUGAAUAUAAAAUCUGUCAUGAAUCCACAAGGUACUAAAUUUAUAAACUCUUGCGUCCGGAAGGAAUAAAAUAAUGUCAUGGUUCCACAGGGCUGUUCUAUUACCACUUGACAUAUCGGGUGUUGAGUGAAAAUUGAGAUUUGUGCCUUAGAUCCAUAAGGCAAGAAUUUUGAACUUAUAAAUCUAGCCCAAAUUUUACAUGACUUAGAAUCUCCAAUCUUUGAAACCACAAGGAUGGACUAGACUUAUCCUUGAUUCCCCAAGGAUCAAAUAAUUCCCUUGAAUAAACAAGAUAAGUGCUUAAAUCUACAAACAAAGAGAGAAAUCUCAAAGAAGGUAGAGGUCAUACUAUCUCGAAUGAGACAGGGUUACAAUGCAAGGACCUUUUAAUUGGUCUAAAAUCAGUUGUGACAUUAGUAAAAAGAUGGAUCAAUGAUAACAACAUUUUAAAGUACAAUUAAAAAGCUAAAAAAAAAUUACAUAAAAAUCGACAUAACUAUUCUCUGACCUGUUUCUCACACAUUUUACUCCGAGUCUAAUCAGAUUUCGGGUCAUCUCAUACUGCCUGCCCUCCUUAGGGCUUCCAGAAUGCUUGGGUCACCCGUUUUGGGCGACCUGGGUAAAAAACUUCUUGCCCCUAUCUUUUUUAGAAGUGAUGUCCUAAAUUACAAAAAUUAGGAUAGAAAAUAAAUUUUUUUACUCCUGUUAGCCGCCAGUCGCCCUAAUCUUAGUUGUGCUUUCUGGUCUUCAAUAUAAGACAAUUUUAUGUUCGGCCUUCGAGCUUCCAGCCGCUUAAAGUCGGCAUGGCUAUGAAUGGAGCCGUAGGUUUUCCUCAACGACAUGCUUUCCUGGAUUGAGAGGACCUUGGCACCGCCAAACUCCAUGCAGUCACGUUAUGAUCGCGUCCAUUUUGAUCUGGCGUUUUUCAGUAAUUUUGUUGCAGGAGAUGAAUGUCAAUAUUUGGAAGUGCCUUGGUUUGAAUCCAUGCUUGUUACAUCUCUUGGGUUUUUCUCACAGCUGGAAACUGGUCGUGACAUCGAGUUGAUCUUUGGAAGUGAGAGACCUACUGGGUUCUCCGCGUUCUAUUCCUCCCACGACGGCGAAAGAGUGUUAUUCUGCUGUCGAUUUAAAGCUGAUCUAUGUUCUGCACAAGUAGAAGUUUUCAGUGAGUGUUCUGACGUACUUCGGCCGCUACACUCUCUCGAUUUACAUGCUGGUGGUGCAGGUCUCUUCGUUGACUUCAAGCGUGAAGGAUGUGUUUCGUCACCUCUUGAAUCAUCACCCCAAUAUAAAUUCAUGGUAUCUUAACCACUGCGAGUGAGACUGUCCCUGGAGGACAGUGCUGAUGUCCCGGAGUCUGCUUGGAUCUUACUAGGCAACAUUCUCAGCUGCUUCACCAUGCUGUCUGUCACUCGCGACACGGUCUAUCUCCUUCUUUCUCAGUCCUAAUCUCUCUCCUUUUCUCUCUUUCCCUCGCUUCCCAUUCCUCUUCCUCCGUUCCCUCUCCUCCUCGUUCCCCCGUCUCCUUCCCCUUUAAUCGCUUACUAUAGGAAGUUGUUCACUUCAUUGUCUGUGAUCCUCAUUUAGGGAUUACUCUUCUAAUAUAACAGAAAAGCUACCCAUUCCGCGUGGGACUUUCUAACCUAAAGGAAGAACAUAUACAGGAGGUUUUCUUCCCGAGAGAAGAAAAAAAAAGACUGAAACGGAGCAAUAAAUGAUGUAGAGUCACAGAGAACCGCCGCCGGUGGUUUGUCCCAGCACUGACCUCCCAGCUCAACAAAAGGAAAGUCACCCCUUACAGGUGGACUACUGGUAAUAUCAGAGAGUGGUGUUCUGAAGACAUUGAAAUACUUACAAUUCAACCAUUUGAACAAGGGUUCCAAAGUUGUGAAGGUGUCUGGAAUAUGAGGUCUUGUGUAUGUUUCGAAAUGUUGGAUGAAACUAAAUAGUUUCAUGAUUAAUCUUCAUCUUAUUUUGAUUAACGUUUGAAAAAAUCAUAACAAUAAUUAGUACCGAACAAGUCAAUAUUUUGGAUGCUUUGGCUCCACUUGGGUUUUGAGGUAUCUGAUGUGAGACAUGAAAAAUGGGCUAAGGACUNNNNNNNNNNNNNNNNNNNNNNNNNNNNNNNNNNNNNNNNNNNNNNNNNNNNNNNNNNNNNNNNNNNNNNNNNNNNNNNNNNNNNNNNNNNNNNNNNNNNNNNNNNNNNNNNNNNNNNNNNNNNNNNNNNNNNNNNNNNNNNNNNNNNNNNNNNNNNNNNNNNNNNNNNNNNNNNNNNNNNNNNNNNNNNNNNNNNNNNNNNNNNNNNNNNNNNNNNNNNNNNNNNNNNNNNNNNNNNNNNNNNNNNNNNNNNNNNNNNNNNNNNNNNNNNNNNNNNNNNNNNNNNNNNNNNNNNNNNNNNNNNNNNNNNNNNNNNNNNNNNNNNNNNNNNNNNNNNNNNNNNNNNNNNNNNNNNNNNNNNNNNNNNNNNNNNNNNNNNNNNNNNNNNNNNNNNNNNNNNNNNNNNNNNNNNNNNNNNNNNNNNNNNNNNNNNNNNNNNNNNNNNNNNNNNNNNNNNNNNNNNNNNNNNNNNNNNNNNNNNNNNNNNNNNNGUGGGCUUUAGAAGAUCACCUAUCACAAAGGUUAGUCCUAGAGGUUUCCUCAUGCUAGGAAAAGGGAGGGAUCGACGAAACUAAGAAAUCACCAUGGAUGAGGCACUCCACAUUCAAUGUCUGGACUCGGGCAAUCAAGUGGACCACUCUCUCACUAUUACCCCCUAACUAAAUGUUUAGAGGACUAACUAGGAUAUACUAAUUGGCGAGUCAAUCUGAAGUUUAUUGAAAAAAAAAUGUAAAUGAGAGGGAAGAAGUCAGACAAUAUCCUCGACCGAGUCGGGGUAGGUGUGGGCAGUCAACGUACAGGAAUUUGCUGGGACACGAUCGUGUGGUCCCUGCGGCAUCAUUACAAGCAGCAGUAGCUUGACAACCCCCCCUAGCAACUCGCAGAUGACUCAGAAGGGGAUGAAGGUGGUGUGGGAAUAGAUAGGGUUAGCUCCAAUUAGGAGUACGGGGUCCUCUCGCCAGCUCCUACCGAGAGCGACGUGAUCAUCUGACCAACCCUCAAGGAGCGAAACGUAUAAGGCAAACUCCAGAAGUUCUUCUUUACUUCAACAAUUGUUUUUAGGGCUAUUUAUAAGGCCCACAAGGAGACAAAUAUCAAAUAAAAUUAGGUCUAUUUAAUGAUAAAUAAAGUCAUUUGUUAGGCGUUGAUUGUUGAUAUGGCUCCGAUGUGGAUAUGGGUCUGUGUUCUUGAAGCCUUGAGGGUGAAAUGGUGCAUUGCCUCCUCUUCGAUCCCCGUCAGCUCUCCCCUACUCAAAAGAACUUGACUCCAUAAAGUCCAGUAGGAAUAUGCUCCGAUAACAUUCCAAGGGAGCUAAAUUCAGCUAGUUGAACUCUUCCUCAGUCACCCAACAAUCAUCUUAAGAUGGCUUCUCCUUCUAACAUAUGAGGAAACGUUGCAACUCACCAUCCUUGGUAGAGAAAGUUUGUUCAUUUAAUAUAUAUUUUAUUUUACUCACGCCGUGAAGGAAAUAAAAUUGGUGGAUACUGAAGGUUCAGGUCACUCCCAAUAAAUGGUGAAGGCUCAAAUGGCCCACUUUAAAUAGUUGGGGGGCCCUAUGGGCAUUAAAAGAUGUUAUUUUUUGAAAGUCAUUAAGAACAAUUUAAAUAAAUAAACUUUGUGGAAAUGGAUUUAGGAACGGAAUAAGUACCGAAGGAGAGUCAUCCCUUCAUCAAUUGAGCUUCAUCAAUAAAAAGUGGACCACAAGGCCUCCGCUAAGAGGAACCACUCCUUUCCAUAUGCUCGUUCGUAUCGGUUGCACCUUCCCUCAUGAGGCACACCAUUCUCUUUGAUGGGCCUUACUCAAAAUGCCCGCUCCACAUAAAUUCUGCGAAGAGGUUAAUAACAUUUUUUCUCAUAAGAGCUUUCCGAAACAUAACAGACAUAUCGAUAAUGAUGGCUGAGAAAAUAGUGAACAUCUGCAGAUGACGGAAGAACAUCCACCCAGUUAAUAAUAGUCACAGAGCUUCGGCAUCUCUCAAGACUCUACGGUGGGUGGCCUCAUGGUUCCUCCUGUAGAGCCCUCGUGUACGCUCUGUUCUCCUUCCUCGUGGCCGCUUCCUCCUGAUUUCCUUGGCACUCGUAGUAGAACACCACGUUGACUGUCUGGAUCAACAUAAUCACCAACAAGUAGACUAACGAGGACAGGAUCGAAUUGAGCAGAUUGGGCAAAGGGAAAAGGGUUACGAUUGAGAACAACGUUUGGGCCAAGGUCACAACGAGAAACAGGAGAAUGUUUACUCUGAACCCUAAUCCCUUCGUGCCUCGGACGCGCUCCGCUGCCCUUCCAAGAGCGUCCAGCCCGGAGCGUCCUUCCUCCAUCACGGAGACCACAACGCCUUGUGACCAAAGCAUGUUCAAGUGUACAAAGAGGAGAAAUCCCAGGAUGGCCACGGCCGCGAUUAAGGCAAGAGACGCAGCGGAAACGCCACCGAAGAGGACGACAGCACUCAUCAGCAAGAUGCAGAAGUUCAGAUAACCCGAGGUGAGGAAGUAGACAUAGAGGUUUGUGGCCAUCACGCCCAUCCACGUCCUCCGGAUCCUGAAGACGAGAUCCUUCAGGGCCACCUCCCGGUUCUUCCCCACCAUGGCUACCGUGUAAAUGAUCGCUAUCACGACGAACGAAUAGAGAAGGUAAUAGACUAACGACCCAACGAUUAUGGCUCUGCCAAUCUGCUGGAGAUCAGUCCGUAAUGCCGAGAAUACCUCAUCAAUUGAGUCAGUGCCAGAAUCCUGCAUGCCUAGGAUGCGUAUAUUCCUGAGAAGUCCCGAAGUUGCAGGGUAGACGGAAGACCAGGUUCUAGAGCGGCUGAGACAGCUGAGUACAAGAAUGAUAAGCAGGGCGGACAGCAUGGACUUACAGCUCCUCCAGAACAGCCUUACACCUUUCCAAACAAUCUCCACGGCCGUCAACGGCCGAGGCGCCUCCUUACCCAUGGCUUCCCCGUGUAUCUUGCUUCCUGCUGAAUUCAGCCCCUUCUCAGCUCCCUCUUCUUCCUAUUUAUGCUCCUCCUGUUCUUUCCCGAAGGUCUCUCUACGGGUGAUGCGGUCCGUGGCAGGUUCACCACGGGGAAGAAUCAUGGCGGAAGCUCAUUGGAGCUCAAGCCUCCUCGGGCGGGGAAGGAAGAUUAAAAUGUGGUUCAGGCGGCGCUCCAAGUGGAAGAAAACGUCAAGUAGCCAUUUUAGGAGCGCAUCUCAUUUGGGGAGAUUGCCUUCGUUCCCACGGCAAGCGUCAAAUCUAUUUAUAGCGAUAUCGAGCAUUCCGCCGUCCAAGUAAUGGCAAUGGAGUCAACGGCAGGAAAGUCAACUUCCGCUCAUAUCUGUCUGGGAACGGCCCGAGUCAACUUCUCACUCGAAAAGAGAUCUCUUUUGAUGUUCACGCAUACGGAAAGAGAGAUCUCUGGUCUCCAAUGGGCACUCGGCCUUUGCCUCCUUUCCUCCGCGGACCUUCUGGUAGAAGAAUUGGUCAACUGGGUGACCGCAGAUAUUGAGUCUGACCUUCGAGCUGGGCCCCACCAAAGAUAGUGGGCCUCACUUUCAGGCCCAGUUGGUAAAUCCCCGGCCCGUAAGCGGGUGACCCGGCCGACUCGGCUCAGCCGACACGAAUCGUCCCUUCGCGGGGAAGCAAAGCCCGCUCUCUCCUCUAUGAGCGUCGGUUCUACGCUAAGGAGGGUGACGUCACCCUCCCCGUUAUAGCUAUAAAUACGCGUUCCCCCCUCCAAAAUCCCCCCCUUUCUCUCUCUCUCUCUCUCUCUCUCUCUCGCGCGCGCGCGCGCUCUGUGGAAUUGGCGAUGGGAGGCUCCCACAGUCGAGAGGGAUUGGAAAUCUCUGAUUCAGAGGCCGAGGAGGAGGAAGAAGAAGACAGGGUGGAGACGAGGCGCGGCGGAGGGGAUCCGACGACGCCGCACGGGUCCUCAGGCAGUAUGAGGAAAAGCUCGGCCCUAGACGAUGUCGAGGCCGGGCUCCAAUCGCUCAAGCUCAAGUAUGCGUCCGCCUCUCCCUCGUCUGAUUUCUCCCCGGCAGGCCUUCCGAACGCCGCCAAGCUCUACCUUCACGUCGGCGGUAGCGCUCCUGACGCCAAAUGGAUCGUGUCCGAGAAGCUCGUCGCCUAUUCCUUUCGCAAGUCCUCCCCCACCGGCGGAACGGGAGACGAAUCGGACAGCGAUGGAGAGGCGCCCGCCUCGUGGUUCCUGAAGGUUGGAUUGAAGGUCUGGGCGAGGGUGGACCCUGGGAUGCAGCUGAAGACUUUCCCCGACCAACGACGUGUGGAUUUUGUGGCGGCGGGGGUUUGGGCCCUGAAGUUCUUCACCCCCGAAACCUACAAGCAGUUUUACAACGAUUAUCAGAACUGCUUCUUCGAGAACGUGUACGGGAUGGAGGCCAGCGAGGAGAACAAGAUCAAGGUCUACGGGAAGGAAUUUUUGGGAUGGGUGAAGCCGGAAUUCGCCGACGACACAAUCUGGGAGGACGCAGAGGAGAGCUUCGAGAAGAUUCCUCGCAUGGCGCACUCCAGGUUGAGCCAAGAUCUCCUGAAAGAGUUUGAAGAGGUGGCGGAUGACGGUGGCAUACAGAGUCUUGCUCUGGGGGCUCUGGAUAAUAGCUUUCUGGUGAGCGACUCGGGCAUCCAGGUGGUCAAGAACUUCAGCCAUGGGAUCCACGGCAAGGGAGUAACAGUGAAGCUUGCUAAUAACAUCAGCAGAGGAGCCGAUCGUUCUAAUCUGGAACCUGCUACUCCCAAGAAGGCACUUCUCAUGAAGGCUGAGACCAACAUGCUCGUCAUGAGCCCCGGAAUGGAGGGGCGGCCCCGCGCAGCGGGCGUCCAGCAACUUGACAUCGAAACGGGGAGAUCCAUCGCACAGUGGAAAUUCGAGAAGGAUGGAACAGGCAUCGGAAUGAGGGACAUAACGAAUGAUAGCAAGGGCGCCCAGCUGUACCCGUCGGAGUCCACCUUCCUUGGACUGGAUGAUAACGCACUCUGCAGGUGGGACAUGAGGGACAGGAGAGGCAUGGUUCAGACGAUUGCAAAUGCAGGGGAUUCACCGAUAUUGCAGUGGACUCAGGGGCACCAGUUCUCCAGGGGAACGAACUUCCAGUGCUUCGCUACUACUGGUGAUGGAUCCAUAGUUGUUGGAUCUCUCGAUGGAAGAAUCAGGCUGUACUCAAAAAGCUCAAUGAGGAUGGCGAAGACUGCGUUCCCUGGGCUCGGAUCGCCCAUCACCCAUGUGGAUGUCACUUUUGAUGGGAGAUGGAUACUGGGCACCACAGACACCUAUCUGGUGCUCAUAUCUACAGUUUUUAAGGAUAAGGAUGGGAAGGAGAAGACUGGGUUCAGUGGACGAAUGGGGAACAGGAUUGCAGCGCCAAGACUGUUGAAGCUCACCCCCCUGGACUCCCAGUUGGCCGGGGAAAAUAAUAAGUUUCAUGGUGGCCACUUCUCGUGGGUAAGUAAACUUUGAUAUAAUUUUCUUAUCAUUGACAGUUACAUUUUGUUUUGGCUUAUAUAUCGAUUGCCGAUCUUAAAAAUAUGGAUUCUUUUUUUGUUUAUGGCAACCUUAGUCAGUGCUUGCUCCCCCUUUGUGUAUUGAUCCUUUAGCAGUUCAUCUCUGUGGUAUAUAAAAUUUUCAUUUCCAUGCCCUCCCCGUUGCCACUUCUACAUCUCUGCAGACUAAAUCCUACUUGAUAACAUAUUUGCUUGUUUAUAGGCACGUGGAUAUAGGUUCUGAUCUUUAAACCAGUCUGCAGAAUUUGGGAUUCGUCCGGUUCAAAGAGUCACUGCUUGCUUGUUUUCCUCACACAUUCCUUAUUAUGAUUCUUAAACCUAUUUUUGGUUCAUAUCUGGUCUCAAUAUAUAUAUAUAUAUAGACAGCCGAACAGAGUUAGAACCCAUAAACUGUACUAUUAUUAAUUCUUUUGUGAGGGAUCGGCCUUGAUAAAUUAGAAUAUCGCCGAGGAUUGUUAUGAUCCCUGGCUUUUUUUAUAAGAUGAAGACUGCGCUAGUUCAUGGUGAUGAGCUGCGGUUCUCUGUAGCUCAGCUUCGCGGCUUUGUUCAUAUUUUUGGCAAUUUUUCAGUCUACGGUUGUAAUUAUUUUUCUGGGCUUCAUUUCAACUCUGGUGGCUGGUUACUCAUCUAUGAUGUUCUCCGCAUGUCCGUUGACCUGUUUCCGUAUGCUUGCUGCGUUUUCUGAAGGAUUUCUGAUAUCUGGAAAGGGGGGGGGGGGAGGGUUGACUCUUUUUUAUCAUAAUUUUCCGAUUAUGGAUCGUUGUUUUAUUAUAUAUAUAUAUAUAUANNNNNNNNNNNNNNNNNNNNCUCUCUCUCUCUCUCUCUCUCUCUCUCUCUCUCUUGCCGUACUGCGGGGAGAGAGAUCGCCUUGUUCCUCCCUCGGAUGAGCCGCGAGAUCGCUUUCUUCAUCUGCGUCGGCUGGUUGCGGCGGCACCGGGUGGAGUCCUGAUUGCGGGUUGCAGAAAGAAUGCCGUCGAUAUCCUGCGCCAGCCUGCUGGAGUUGGUCUCCCAGAUGGCGGCGGACUCUGCUUCCUCGAUGAGGCCGCUGAACCCACGCCUACCCCGCGCCGUGACGGUUCCGGGCAUCAUCUCCGACUCCGGCGGCACAGAGGAUGGCGCCGCCGGCCUCUCCUCUGGCGAUCCUCUUCCUCCCCUGGUCGCUGGCGGAGCUUGCGACCCCCCACUCCCCCGCGAGCGGCGGAUCAUCGUCACCAACCAGCUUCCCGUCCUUGCUCACCGGGACUCUACCCGCCGGUGGCACUUCUCCUGGGACGCCGACGCCCUCUCCUUCCAGCUCCGCGCGGGGUUCCCCGCCGGGACGGAGAUCAUUCACAUCGGCACCCUCAGGCCGCAGCCGCCGCCAUCCAACGGCGGUGACGCCAAUGUCGAGGCCGGCGAUCAGGAGGAGAUCGCCCAGCAUCUGUACGAGAAGUUCCGCUGCGUGCCCGUCUUCCUCCCCGAUGAUCUCCACCACCGUUUCUACCACGGCUUCUGCAAGCGCUACCUCUGGCCACUGUUCCACCACUCGCUGCCGAUCUCCGCCACAGCCGGCGGCGGCUGCGGCGCCCGCUUCGACCGCGCCCUCUGGCAGGCCUACGUUUCCGCCAACAAGGCCUUCUCCGACAAGGUGACGGAGGUCGUCGACCCCGACGAGGACUACGUCUGGGUCCACGACUACCAUCUCCUGGUUCUCCCCACCUUCCUCCGCCGCCGGUUCCACCGCAUCAAGCUCGGCUUCUUCCUCCACUCCCCCUUCCCCUCCUCGGAGAUAUACCGGACGCUCCCCGUCAGGGAGGAGAUCCUCCGGGCGCUGCUCAACUCGGACAUGGUCGGCUUCCAGACCUUCGACUACGCUCGCCAUUUCAUCUCCUGCUGCAGCCGGAUGCUGGGGAUCGACUGCCAAUCCAAGAGAGGGUUCAUCGGCCUCGAAUACUACGGGAGGACAGUCGGUAUUAAGAUCCUCCCCGUCGGCGUAGACAUCGGGCAACUGGAGACGGUGAUGAGGUCGCCGGCGGCCGGCGAGAAGACCCGACAACUGAUGCAGCAGUUCCACGGCAGGACGGUACUCCUGGGGAUCGACGACGUCGAUCUGUUUAAGGGCAUCAGUCUCAAGUUCCUAGCCAUGGGUCAGCUCCUGGAAGAUCACCCAGAAUGGAGGGGACGAGCCGUCCUGGUUCAGAUCGCGAACCCUGCGAGGAGCGGCGGGAAGGAGGUCCAGGAGCUGUUGGCCGAGAUGGUCGCCGUCGCCGACGAGAUAAACCGCCGCUUCGCCGUUCCAGGGUACGACCCAAUCAUCCUGAUCCACCGGCAGCUGGCCCCCCACGAGAGGGUCGCCUUCUACGCCAUCGCCGAGUGCUGCGUCGUCAACGCCGUGCGCGACGGCAUGAACCUGGUGCCCUACGAGUACACCGUCUGCCGGCAGAGGAGCCCAGCGGCGGCGACGGAGGGCUCCCCGAGGAGGAGCAUCAUCGUGGUCUCGGAGUUCAUCGGCUGCUCCCCGUCGCUCAGCGCCGCCAUUAGAGUUAACCCCUGGAACGUCGACGCGGUGGCGGAAGCCCUGAGCGUCGCCCUCAAGACCCCGGCGGCGGAGAAGCAGCUCCGCCAUGAGAAGCACUUCAGGUACGUCAGCUCCCACGACGUGGCCUUCUGGGCGAGCAGCUUCGACCGGGACCUGUGGAGGGCUUGCAAAGACCAUUUCCUCAAGAGGGUCUGGGGAAUCGGCUUCGGCCUAGGGUUCAGGGUCGUCGCCCUUGGCCCCAGUUUCAGGAAGCUCUCGGUGGAGCAUGUCGUCUCCGCCUAUAGGAAGACGACCAGCAGGCUUCUGCUGCUCGACUACGACGGCACGAUUCUGCCUCAGGCGUCGGCGAGCAAGGCUCCCGGUGAGGAGGUGGUCUCCCUGCUCAGCAGCCUCUGCAGCGAUCCGAAGAACGUCGUGUUCCUCGUCAGCGGCAGGGGGAGAGACUCCCUGAGCGACUGGUUCGGCGCCGUCGGGAAACUGGGGAUCUCCGCCGAGCACGGCUUUUUCACGAGGUAUCUAUCUAUCUAUCUAUCUCUACCUUUGGUAGAGAGCUCUGAUCUCUGAUCAUCAGAGAAAACUCCAAAAUUGUUGGUUUUUGUUUUCUAACCAGAGUGGGAAUAAAACAAAACAGUGGGGGAUUGACUGCAGGUGGGGGAGGGACGCGCAGUGGAAGUCCUUCUCGGCGGCCGUUGACUUCAGGUGGAUGGAGAUGGUGGAGCCCAUCAUGAGGGUCUACGCCGAGACGACGGACGGCUCUUGGAUCGAGCGCAAGGAGAGCGCCCUGGUCUGGCACCACCAUGACGCAGACCCUGACUUCGGGUCGCAGCAGGCGAAAGAACUCCUCGACCACCUCGAGAGUGUUCUCGCCAACGAGCCCGUCGUCGUCAAGAGAGGCCACCACAUCGUCGAAGUCAAACCCCAGGUAUGGCCGUGAUCAUCGCCCAUCUUCCUCGGACAAGAAGAUGUAUCAAACUGUCGGGAAACUCGACGGUGAAGAUGGAUGAGAAUAUCUAAUCUUUUCAGGGCGUCAGCAAGGGGAAGGCAGUGGAGGGCCUCAUCGCGGCGAUGGCCGCCGGAGGGAAGCCCGUUGACUUCGUCUUCUGCGUCGGGGACGACCGAUCCGACGAGGACAUGUUCGAGAGCAUCGCCGGAGCGGUGAAAGUGCAGCGGCUGGCCGCCGCCGCGGCGGUAGAGGUCUUUGCCUGCACCGUCGGGCAGAAGCCGAGCAGGGCGAGGUACUACCUCGACGAUCCAGCGGAAGUUAUAGGGACUCUCCAGGGCUUGGUCUCCGCCUCCACGCGGCCUCGCAAUCCCGCCGCCGCCUUACAGGUGUCCUUUGAAGGCUGAAUCUUUCUCUGGAGAAAGAAUUCGAAGUCAAUCUCUGCUCCUCAAAGUUUAUCAGGCGUUACUCUCUCUCUCUCUCUCUCUCUCUCUCUCUCUCUCUCUCUCUCUCGCUCGCUCGCUCGUCCGCUCGCUCACUUGUUCGCGUGUACAGACCACAGAAUUGUUCCUCACUGGUGGAGUCUGCAAUUGGCAGAUGAUGUAUACCAGUUUAUACCAUUUUCUGGCAUGUUGGUGCCUGGUUGGCCUUUCUUUCUCUAGUUCACUGUGAGAGGAGGCUACGAGUCCAGCGGGUUUGUCUUGGAUUUGGUGAGGGCAUUUUGAAGAGGCGUUGACUCUUCAACGAAAUGCAAUCUAGCCACUCCGUCACCCCCGGCCUCUGCCUUCAGUCCAUCUCCAGCCAUCACUCCCUCUCUCUCUGUCCCCCCUCUCCCCCUGUUUCUCUCAUCUCCCAUCUCUCUGUCUCCCUCCCUCUCCCUCUCUCNNNNNNNNNNNNNNNNNNNNNNNNNNNNNNNNNNNNNNNNNNNNNNNNNNNNNNNNNNNNNNNNNNNNNNNNNNNNNNNNNNNNNNNNNNNNNNNNNNNNNNNNNNNNNNNNNNNNNNNNNNNNNNNNNNNNNNNNNNNNNNNNNNNNNNNNNNNNNNNNNNNNNNNNNNNNNNNNNNNNNNNNNNNNNNNNNNNNNNNNNNNNNNNNNNNNNNNNNNNNNNNNNNNNNNNNNNNNNNNNNNNNNNNNNNNNNNNNNNNNNNNNNNNNNNNNNNNNNNNNNNNNNNNNNNNNNNNNNNNNNNNNNNNNNNNNNNNNNNNNNNNNNNNNNNNNNNNNNNNNNNNNNNNNNNNNNNNNNNNNNNNNNNNNNNNNNNNNNNNNNNNNNNNNNNNNNNNNNNNNNNNNNNNNNNNNNNNNNNNNNNNNNNNNNNNNNNNNNNNNNNNNNNNNNNNNNNNNNNNNNNNNNNNNNNNNNNNNNNNNNNNNNNNNNNNNNNNNNNNNNNNNNNNNNNNNNNNNNNNNNNNNNNNNNNNNNNNNNNNNNNNNNNNNNNNNNNNNNNNNNNNNNNNNNNNNNNNNNNNNNNNNNNNNNNNNNNNNNNNNNNNNNNNNNNNNNNNNNNNNNNNNNNNNNNNNNNNNNNNNNNNNNNNNNNNNNNNNNNNNNNNNNNNNNNNNNNNNNNNNNNNNNNNNNNNNNNNNNNNNNNNNNNNNNNNNNNNNNNNNNNNNNNNNNNNNNNNNNNNNNNNNNNNNNNNNNNNNNNNNNNNNNNNNNNNNNNNNNNNNNNNNNNNNNNNNNNNNNNNNNNNNNNNNNNNNNNNNNNNCUCUCUCUCUUCCCUCCCCUCCUCUCUCUCUCUCUCCCCGCUCUCUCUGUCUCACUCCCUCUCUCUCUAAGAGUCACGGAGGAAAGGAAGCUAAGGCCGAGUUCUCAUUCGAAACCGGAGCUCUUUCUUUCCGCAAGCAUGGACAUCAAAAGAGAGAUUUUUUCUAGUGAGAAGGCCAUCACCCCAGCGAGAAUUUGACUUGGGCCGUUCCUAACCCCGAUGUGAGCGUAAGCUGACUUUCCUGCCGUUGACUCCAUCUGGAGCUGGCAGCUGAACGUGCUAUCGACUCAAUUGCCAUUACUCGGGCGGUCGGACGCUCAAUAUCGCUAUAAAUAGAUUUGACACUUGCCGUGGGAACGAAGGCAAUCUCCCCAAAUGAGAUGUGCUCCUAAAAUGGCUACUUGACGUUCUCUUCCACUUGGAGCGCCGCCUGAACCACAUUUUAAUCUUCCUUCCCCACCCGAGGAGGCUUGAGCUCCAAUGAGCUUCCGCCAUGAUUCUUCCCCGCGGUAAGCCUGUCACGGACCGCAUAACCCGUACAGAGACCGUCCGGAAUGGAUAAGACGAGCAUAAACAGGAAGAGGAGGGAGGUGAGAAGGGACUGAAUCCAGCGAGAAGAAAGAUACUCGGAGAAGCCAUGGGUAAGGAGGCGCCUGGGUCGUUGACUGCCAUGGAGAUUCUCCGGAAAGGUGUAAAGCUUCUCUGGAGGAGCAGUAAGCCCCUGUUCUCCACCCUGCUCGUCAUUCUGGUACUCAACUAUGUGUGCCUCUCUGCAACCUCGUCUAUCAUCGACCCUUCGAUUUCACGCGUUCUAAAGAAGCAACACCUCCUAAGCAGACUGGACGAUAGCACUUCCACAUUUGCUGCGGUAUUUAGGGGAUUAUGGACUGAUAUCCUGCAGACUGUCGGAGCCGUAAUUGUUAUGUCGUUGAUCUAUUACCUGCUCUAUUCCUUCAUCGUGAUAUCGAUCAUUUACACGGUCGCCAUGGUCGGGAAGAACCGGAAGGUGGCCCUAAAGGAUAUCGUCUUCAGGAUCUGGAUCACGUGGAUGGGCGUGAUAGCCACAAACCUCUAUGUCUACUUCCUCACCUCGGGUUAUCUGAGCUUCUGGAUCUUGCUGAUGAGUGCCGUCGUCUUCUUUGCUGGCGCUUCCGCUGCGUCCUUUGCGUUGAUCGCGGCCAUGGCCAUCCUGGAAUUUCUUCUCCUUGUACACUUGAGCAUGCUUUGGUCACAAGGCGUUGUGGUCUCCGUGAUGGAGGAAGGGCGCUCCGGGCUGGACGCUCUUGGAAUGGCAGCGGAGCGUGUCCGAGGCAUGAAGGGAUUAGGGUUCAGAGUAAACAUUCUCUUAUUCCUCGUUGUGGCCUUGGCCCAAACGUUGCUCUUUACCGCAACUCUUUUCCCUUUGCCCGAUCUGCUCAGUUCGAUCAUGUCCUCGUUAGUCUACCUGUUGGUGAUCGUGUUAAUCCAUGCCGUCAACGUGGUGUUCUACUACGAGUGCCAGGAGAAACACGAAGGAGCGGCCACGAGGAGGGACUUAGCGUACACGAGGGCUGCACACGAGGAACCAUGAGGCCACCCACCCCAGACUCUUGAGAGAUGGCGAGGCUUUGCGACUAUUUACUGGGUGGAUGUUCUUCCAUCAUCUGUAGACGCCCACUAUUUUCUCAGCCACUGUUAUCAAUAUGCCCGUCAUAUUUGGGAAAUCGCUUAUUACUCUCCGUGAACUUGUUCUUGUAUGGUAUUCAUCGAGAGAAAAAUGUUGCAGAACUCUUCACAAACUUUAUGAGGCCCAUCAAAGAGAAUGAUGUGCCUUGUGAGGCAAGCUCCGACCGAGACUAACGAGCCCGUCAAAAGCGCCAGUUCCUCCUGGUUGAGGCCCAGUGGUCAACUCUUCAUUGGUGAAGCUCAACCGGCGAUCAAGCUCCCAUCCGAAGGGACGACUCUCUUUGAGUACGUCUUUCAUUCAUAGCUAGUUGUGCAAUUUUUUGAAACGUUAAUCACAUUAAAACGAAGAUUUCCCAUUAAACUUUGCACCUUCCAAAUGAAAAAACAGAUACAUGACCUCGGCUCCUAGACGCCUUCACAAGUUUCGAUCCCUUCUUCGAAAGGGAGAAUCAUAAGCAUUUCAACCUGUCCAGAAUACUAUACUCUCAUCGUACCAUUAGUUCACCUGAAAGGGAUGACUGUUCUUUUGCUGUGUGGGGGAGGUCAGUGCUGAGACGGUUCACCGGAGGCAGUCCUCAGUAACUCUCCCUCGUCACUCAUCGCUCCGUCUCUCUUCUAUGUUUUCCUUCUGUCGCAAAGAAACCCUCCCGUUGAUAUGCUCUUCUUUUGGUCAGAAAGUCCAACGUGUAGUGGGUUCUUCUCUGUGAAAGUAAAAUAAACAGCGUCAGGCAGUAAAGGAGUAAGCGGGGAAGGGAGGAGGAACGGGGAGGAAGGAAAAGAGAGAGAUUUGGGCAGAGAAACAAGGGGAUAGGCCGUGUCGCGAGAGACACACAGCAUGGUUAAGCAGCUGAGAACGCUGCCCAGCGCAAUCCAAGCGGUCUUCGGGACGUCAACGAUAGGACAGUCUGACUCGUAGUGGAUAAGAUAUCGUGAAUUCAAUCUGGGACUGACAAGUCCAGAGGCGACGAGACACAUCCUCCACAGUUGAAGUCAACGAAGAGAUCUGCAUCACGAACAUCUCAAUCGAGUGAGUAUAUAGUGGUCAAGGUCCCCUGGGACACCCGCUGAAAGCUUCUAUUGCUCGAAUAAUAUCCAGGCUCACGUACUUAUUUAUGGGUAUUUUCGUAUUUGUGCUCGUCGCCUUAGAGAUUAGCUGCUCCCUCUAAGGCGGCGAGCACAAUGAAGACAUUAGCUCUCUCUCUUUCUCUCUCUCGCUCGUUCUCUUUCUUCUCUCAUGCUCUCUCUCUCUCUCUCUCGUCUCUCUUGUCUCUCUCGCUCUCUUUUUCUCUCUUGCUCUUUCCUCUCUACUUUUCGCUCUCUUUUGCUCUCUAUCUCUCUCAUGCUCUGGCGGAGCAUGUACCCAAGCCCCACCACCGACGACCAUGACAUUAGUAUACUCCAUGUCACCUCCCCCAGCAACCAUGCUAAGUGUCAAAGUCACCCUAUGUUACUGUUGCUGGACCUAAGUGAAGGAUCCAAAUUUUUAUUAUUACUAGGCUUUAUUAUGUUUAAUUUCCUUUUAUUUAUUUACGUCACGUUGUAAUCUUCUCUCUCCUCCUGAUGCCUAUAAAUAGGCCUAAGAUCUCUAUGAAAUGGUUGGCCAAUCUUUGGUUAAGAACUAUCAAACACAAAGAUGGUGCCCUAAGGGAUCCCUAUGACCGCAGCUUGUAGCCGCUGCAGCAGUCACACCAGUCUCACCCUACUUUGUGGUCAACCCUUCCCUUCUCUCAUUGAUGGCCAAACAUUCCCUUUGUAAGCAUUCGUGCACCAGAUAACAUGCUGAAAAUCAUCCAUCGGCUUGCCAGCAGCGUGCUGCAUGCGUACCUCCCACGGACAUUAGCACGCCCCAUCCCUCUUGCUGCAAAUUGGAGUGUCCUGCACACCUAAUGGAUGUGCCAUGGCACCUUGACCUGUGCACUAGCCUCCAACCCUUGAUGUCAAUCAUGCACACCUUGUACACCUUGCUUUGCCCAACAUCUUAAUUUGGUUUUAGGGCACUACCCCAAACCAUGUAAGGGGGCGGCUUCCCCCUUGAUCCCCCCACCAACUAAUUGUGCAAUUAGAUUGUGACAAGCUCAUCCUCCUCUAACUAGCUUUGAUGUUAGUAGUAUGGCAUACAAACACUGAAGGUCUUCUUUCAACCCUUUUUGGUAAUUGUGUUUUGACUUCAUCUCAUCUUUCCUUGUAUGUGUUUCCACGGCCAUCAAAUUUAGCCAUGUGGGCUCAUGACUAGUCAAGUGGGUUGUGAUUUUCUUAUGUAGAAGCUAAUUAAAAUUUUGAAUGUGGAGUUUUAUUUUAUUAUAAUGACUUGAGAUAGUCUUCCCACCUUUGAUUGAGAAAUGGAAUAAUAUUCUCAUAUCAUCACAACCUACUUUAAAGGUUCGAGUUCGAUUGUGUGCGACUUUUGUGGCCUAAUAUUUACUUGUAAUAUUCCCAAUGUAUUUCCUCAGUGUCAAUCCUAUUCAUCCUGCAUCAUGCUCUCUCUCUCUUGUCUCUCGCUCUCUCUCUCUCUCUCUCUCUCUCUCUCUCUCUCUUGUCUCUCUCUCAAUCUCUUUUGUCUCUCUUACUCUCUCCUCUCUAUUUCUCACUCUCUCUCUCUCUCUCUCUCCCCCUUCCUAAACGCAACGAGGUUUGACGAAGCGAGCCCAAGUUUGGCCCAAAAUAAACCUAUAUUUAGGGAGAAACUUUCGGCCCAGUAGUGGAAUGCUUAGCUACACUUACCUCGGCCCAAAGUGGCCCAUUAACGUAUCCGAGAGGGAGGGUCGGGAUCGCAAUCGGCCCAUUAAAAAUCACAAAUAGUCCUGGUCCCGGCCCUUUAGCCCAAUCGCCCCCGACCCGAGCCGCCUGCCUUCGUCGUGUUCGCGAGAGGUCGCCGCCGGAGGGUUUGCCUAGGGUUUCCGUGGCCGCGAUCGCCCGGCGCUUUGGCCGGAACUGGAAGCGGAGCUCCGGGGAGUUACCUGAAGAGUCUUUUCAUUCCUUCGUACCGUUUGGAGGAGCAUUGCAUUACUUUGCACGGGUGGAUCGGUUCUAGGUCUUCUGUGCGUGCGCAAGGUCUUGUGAGAUCUGAAUGUUCUUGCCGUCUCCCUAAAUGCGAUUCCAAGUAGCCUGUUCAAGUUUUCUGUAGAUUUAUCGGACUUUUCGUUUUCAGUUUGCGGGUUGUUUAAGCUUUUGCGCUGUUUUGGGGUUAGCCGCCCUGAAGAUUUCGUUUGCGGUUAUCUGCUUGACGUUUUUUCAUCGUCCAAUUUAUUCGAAAUUUCUUUUAGUCUACUGUGAAUUGUUUUUUCCUCUUGGCCUUUUCCUCGGAAAAUUUGGUUACUCCCCGGCACCCUGUCCAGUGUCUCAUCUUCACUUCUCUGCCCGUAGAAAUAUAUUUCUUAAAAAAUAUUUUAUUUCUUUUCACGACCCAUUUCUUAAGUCCGACUGUACAUUAAAACUCUGAUGACCUGGUUCAGAGAUGGCUCGCGUCUACGUGGGAAACCUCGACUCACGGGUGACUGAAAGAGAGCUCGAGGACGAGUUUCGCCUGUUUGGCGUUUUGAGAAGGUACGGUGGAUUUUGAAAUUUUUUUAGGAUAAUUUACUUUAAAAUAUGUCUGAGAAUCGGAUUGGGGUUGUUGACAUUAUCUAUCAUUACUGUAAUUCAUUUCUUUAUUGUCCUUCGAAAACAGUGUAAACUCCGGUUGUACUUUCCAAGAAAUGGGAAUUAUAUGCGCACUCGACAUUCUCCUGUUGUCUCAUCUUUUCUUAAACUCGUUCUACAAUAACGGUGGGUGAUUUGAUUCAAUGGAAGAACGUUGGAUUAAUCAGAAUAUUUGAUAACUGCAACCAAUAUCGUUGAAGUAAUCCUGUCUACCCGUAGUUCAGAGAUUAAAACAAUAAUCAUACAUGUCAGCUUGUCCUUACUCUGAAAUUUAUAAAUUUAAACCCGUCAAUCUGUCUUCACCAAUCCCUUUCUCCUUUUCUAUUUUUUUACAACCUAUACAUGUUAGUCGCUAGCAGCUCUAUUUUUCCUUCAGUUCUGCCGUGCAAAAUAAUGGCUAUAGUGGUAGAAUACAUUUUUCCUAUAAUCUUGGCUUUGCUGAAGUUUUUCUUGUGGAUUGGAUUACUAUAUUCCUAAUGAUCCACGAAGAAAAAUAUUUACCAUGCGUCGUACUUGAUGGAAAUAAGAAUUUAAAACUCUCUCGUCUAUUGUUCACGUGUGGUUUAAUAUCUGCGUUUAAUAUGUUAUUGAUUCUGUUUAGUGGUGAUUUACCUCAACACCAUUAAAUGUAAGGUCAUAAUCUAAGCGAGGGUCAUUUUUUCUGCAUCUAGGUUCAUAUUAUUUUUUGAAAGUGCCGAAGGGUUUGCAGAUUAUUCACUUCUUAUUUUUCUCCUUGCACCUAAAUAUGCAAGUCCCACUCAUGAAGAACCAUCCUUUGACUGUCACAAUUGUACAUUUUUUUUAUUUUCAGUGCAAGGUCUAGAAGGGGCACAAGAAAUAAUUAGGCGCCUAGUCUGUUAUGGAUUUCAGUUUCCAGAUUAUUACAGCCUGGAUAUAUUGAGAAACUAUCUCGAUUUGCUACACAUCUUUUGUAUAUAUUUUGUGAAGCUAACUCAAUUCACGUCUUCAUAUGAGACUAGAAAAAUAUCCUACAUUAGUGAUACAAUAAUGUUAUGUCAUAGCAGCAUGAGCUCAUAUGCUUGGCAUCUAGCAUUCUCUUUUGCUGUUUUGAAUAGCUUCAGACGUUUAACUUUCCUUUCUUUUCCCUCUUCCUUUGAACGGUGGUAUCAGAGAUGGAUUCAUUUUACAACUUCUUGGUGAUCUUUUUUUUCCUGUUCAUAUUAUUUUACUUAUAGAAGGCUCAUUUCCUCAUAUUUUAUUUGAUUAGAAUAACCCGUUCAAUUGAUAGUUCAUUGUUUUGAAUAUUUGUGUGCAGUGUUUGGGUUGCCCGUAAACCACCCGGUUAUGCUUUUAUUGACUUUGACGACCGAAGAGAUGCUCUUGAUGCUAUCCGUGAGCUGGAUGGUCCGUGAAUAAGUAUAUAGGCUUUUUGUAAUAUGCAUUGAAUCCUUUUUCCCCAUGAAAUUAGGUGUCUUUUCAAUUACUGGAUUUAUUUACAUGCUUAUAUAUAAAUCUAUUCAUAUCUUUUAUCUAAUUUUAUAAUGCCCGAGCAUAAACUAGCAUAGUUUGAUCCUUUUUUGCAACAACAUGGUUUUCAAUGAUUUGAUUUAUAUUUUUUUGAUCUUUUGAAAUAGGUAAAAAUGGAUGGAGGGUAGAGAUGUCACAUGGAGGCCGUGGCCAUACUCGUGAUCGAUCUGGAGGUUCUGAUAUGAAGUGUUACGAGUGUGGUGAGCCGGGACAUUUCGCCCGUGAAUGUCGCCUUCGGAUUGGUUCCAGAGGAUUGGGAAGUGGAAGACGCCGUAGUCCGAGUCCCCGGUACCGCAGGAGCCCCAGCUAUGGUCGAAGGUAAUACUAGAAAAUCAUAUUUUCUGGGGAAAAAAAUUUGAAAGAAUUUCGCCUUCUUUUAUCUAUCUUUUUGAAGCUGGCAAAGUGUGCUGAAGUUUUCACAAAAUUCUCAAAACCAUGACUGGAUGAGUUCAGAAUUUAUAACAGUACUUGGACCAUCAUAUAGAGAAAUGAAGUUAUUGCAACUGAACUGGUCAUUGGAUAUUUGUUGAUGAGUCCAUAAGAAGGCUCUACCUAGUUUUUGAGGGACAUUCUGUGGAAAAUAAUAUGGCUGAUAAACGAGUAAUAGUGGAGGCUGUAGGAUCUCUUAGAGGAAGUUUGACUUUUGAUUCUCCAUGCACAUCAGAAAGGCUCCGCUUUUGAGUGAAAAGCGUGACGGAUAAAAGGAAAUAUAAUGCAUUGAAUUGAUGUUUGACCCCAUGGCCCAAGGAGCCAUGAAAGAGCCUAUGGUUUCGGAGCUACAUGGCUAGUACUCAGGAAAGUGCCCCAUGCUGAAAUUCUGUGCCACUUUGAUCUGACAUCUGACUACUCUUGUUUUCUCCUAUCCAGGAGCUACAGCCCCCGGGAUCGCUCCCCUCGCCGCCGCAGCAUCUCUCCUCGCCGCCGCAGCAUCUCUCCUCGCCGCCGCAGCAUCUCCCCUCGCCGCCGCAGCGUCUCCCCCCGCCGCCGCAGCGUCUCCCCCCGCCGCCGCAGCGUCUCCCCCCGCCGCCGCAGCGUCUCCCCCCGCCACCGCAGCGUCUCCCCCCGCCGCCGCAGCAUCUCCNNNNNNNNNNNNNNNNNNNNNNNNNNNNNNNNNNNNNNNNNNNNNNNNNNNNNNNNNNNNNNNNNNNNNNNGUCUCCCUCGCCACCAAAGUCGUCUCCCCACGCCGCCAAAGCAUCUCCCCACGCCACCAGAGCAUCUCCCUCGCCGCCACAGCGUCUCCCUCACCGCCGCAGUGUCUCCCUCGACACCACAGCAUCUCCCUUCCCCCGCAGAACAUCCCCUCGCCACCACAGUGCCUCGCCUCCUGAUGGCGACGUCUCCCUCCCCAUCACAGUGCUUCUCCACGCAAUCAGAGCAUCUCCCCACGCAACCAGAGCAUCUCCCCAAGCCGGCGCAGCUACAGCAGGUCGAGGUCGCCCUCAUACAAGCGUGCCAGUGACGAGUCCCCCUACGCCAACGGGUAAGCUUUCAAUGCCUGAUCUUCAUCGUUCCUUGGCAUUCUAGUGGAGGCUAGGGGCUCACCGCUUCUGCCAUGCCGUGCAGCAACUCUGACGGGCGGGCCGAGCGCCGCAGCAGGAGCUGAGCGCCAGGGAAUGUCGUCUGUUCAAUGGACAAGCGCGCUUCCUCUGCAUCUGAGUAAAUGCUUCCCAACCAUCCCACUGCCCUGGGUUAGGACGUGGUUUAAUUUCCUGCAUGUCGCUCUAUAUUUUAUCAUGCUCGGCUUCUUCUCGUUGGUAAAAGUAUUUCUGAUUUUAAAGACUGGUUGGCUGUGACUGAGAUCUGUAAUCUCUGUUCUUCAUGUCUGUUGAUGAGGUCGUCGUCCCACCUAAAAGACUGCCCAGCCUUGCCGCGUCACCACCCUUUGACUCUGCUCCUCCCUCCUGGCCUCGUUCUUGCCACCUCCGCCGUAAAAGAGGAGCUCUCUCCGGCGCUCGCCCUCAGCCCUGCCCCAUAAAAACUCAUAGAAGAGGUCGGGGCGUGGGCUGCUCCAAGCGCGCCGGCAGGUAACUGGAAUCUGCUUUGAAAUCAGGUUCUUCACCUUCUCACUUGGCCAGCUACAGGGCCCCGGGAUCUGCUGGACAGCUCUCUCCCCAGCACCGUCGGCCCUCCAAAAGAUGACAAGGAACACACCUCCUCUGCGUCUUCUCAGUUCUGUCGGCGGCGCCAGAGGGGUUGACCAACCGGUGCCCAGUCCUUUCUGGGCAAGGAGGGAGAAAGUCGUCUCUUCUAAAAGGGGGGGGGGGGAGGGGAGCGUAGGAUUUCGCAGAGGAUUCAAUGCGGAAUUAUUCAAGAUUCGGUUCACGUAAAAUAUACAUUAUUUAGUUACACAUUCAU
rnacentral:lncRNA from 1 species